AUGAUUUAAAUUGUAUUUUAUUGAAUUAAAUUUUAAUUGUAUAAUAAUAAUUUUUAAAAAAUUAUUUAAUCAAUGUGGUUAUGCCAUGUAUUUAAGGGAUUGAGGAUUAAUAUAUGGUGAUAUUACGAAUUUCUAUAAUUUGGAUUUUUAGGCCAACUCAAAUGUAACCAAAUCUAUAUUUUGUAAAUUUUAAUUAUUAGAUUAAGAUUUUAAUUUUUUUAAAUUUUUUUUCAACUUUUUUUUCAAUAGUAAAACUGACGAUCUAACUUGCCAGUUUAUAUUCAGCUCGUUAAUAAACAAGCGGAGUAUAAACUGAAUUUUUCAACUUGAUAUUUUAACGAGUCAACUCGUAUUCAGCUCGCUUAAUAAACGAGUAAACACAAAUGAAUCCUAACUCACUUGUGUUCAGCUCGUCGACCUUCCUAGUUACAACUAGGGUUGCAGGGAAUCCAUUUGUGGCUUUUUUUUGAAGGAAAAAAAAAAUUCUUUGAUUAGUAGACUAAUGGCCUAACUUGGCGUUGACGUCUCUCUAACUUUGUAUCCCCCAAGAUUCUACAGACACCUCGGCCAGCCGACAAAUUUUAGAAUACAACGGGUAUGUUGAUGAUGUGAUGUAAUAAACUAAUCAAAUAUCUCUUUUUAAAAAUAUAUAUAUAUGUCCAUCAUGAUUAUAAAAAAAUAUUUUGGGAAAACUUCAAAAACCUCCCAUGUGGUUUCGUGCAUUCUCACUUUGCUACCAUGUGGUUUAAAACGUAUCAAUUUGCCCCCCUGUGGUUUCGUUUUUAUCUUUUUGUUAUCAAUUUUAUUAUUAUUUUUUUUUUAAAUCAGUGACAAAAUUAAAAUUAAAGGAUACUAAAGUGACUAUUCGAUAAAUAUAGAUGGUUAUCUGAAGUUUUUUGUAUAUAAUUUAACGAAAUAUUAACGAAAAAGCUUCCGAAAAGAUAAAAAUGAAACCACAGGGGGGUAAAUUGAUACGUUUUAAACCACAGGGUAGCAAAGUGAGAAUGCACGAAACCACAGGGGGGGUUUUUGAAGUUUUCCCAAAUAUUUUUAUUGUACUUUUAUUUGAAAAGAAAAAAUACGAUUGACUUAUUAUUGAUGACGUGGUAUAAGUGUGACAAUGUAGAAUUCCUUCGGCCAGCCGCCAUGGUGUCAACUUGUCAUCUCCAAGUGAGAUAUGAUUUGUUACUGAUCUAUCCUAACACUAGUAGUAAAAAAUUUAAUAAUUAAUAAUCGAGAUCUCAAGGUUGAAGUCUAAUUAUUUUACAAACUAAAUUUAUUUUUAAAAAAAAAAAAAAAAAAAAAAAAAAGUGAGAUAUGACUUGUUGAAAAAAGAAUUUGACAAAUGUAAGUGACCUCAACUAUUUGACAUUUUGAAAGAAGCACCUAACUUUUUACCAGCUAUGCUACAUGUACACUUCAAAGUACCGUGCUUAUUUUAUACCCAAUUUAUUCAAGUUACAUCAAUUUUUUUAUUUUAGAAUUCAUAAAAAUUAUUUAAAUUUUUAUGAAUUCUAUGAUGGGGGUAUAAGAUCUACACACCUUUUUGGUGUACACAAAUAGAACUUUUUAUUUUUUUGGCAAAAAUGUAGAAAAAUCCCUGAACUUUAGCUCUUCUGUGAAAAAGCGCCUGAAUUUUUUAUUUUGGUAAGUAGACUUUCAAAACUUCGUCAAAUAGUUUAAUAGGUCUCUCUCUUCAAUUGAAUAUAACAAUUACAUAGUUAAUUUGGUCAUGUAUCUUGCAUUUAAUCUUAUAAAGGUUCAAAACAUAAAGAAAUUUACCUUUUCUAUUCUAACAUUUAAAAAAACAACAAAAGUUGAUGGUUGGCUCCCCCUCUUCUUGAAUCCUCAAGCUUAGUUAUCAAACCUAAAAGGAGAAAAAAUUACUUCUCUUUACAUUUUAUAAUUUUAUAAGAUUAUAUGCAUGACAUGAGAUCAAGGCAACUGUGUAAUUACUAGUUUGAUUUAGGAGAGGAACUUACAAAACUAUAAGAUAAAAUUCAAAAGAACUAAUUGUUAAAAUUGAACGCUCAGAUGGCUGUUUGUAAACGCGCUUAAGUUUAGGACGUCUUUAUACAUUUUUUACUUCUUUUAUUGAUACUUUUUUAACUUUUAAUUAUAUUUUUUCUUACAUUAAUUUCACGAUUUGUUUAAUAUAAUUAGUAUUUGAUUUACCAAAUUUUCUAAUUUUAUUGAUGAAAGUAACUUAAAUCAAAAGAUUCAAACCUGAACGAUGUCAACUAAAACAAAGGCCUAUAGUUUAGGGGUUGCUUUUAGAAUACCCUAUAGUUGAGGGGGUUACCAUACAAUUUUUUAAAAAAAAAAUAGUAGUAAAAAAAAGGACCUCUUUUAAUAGUUGAUUGGUAUGUGUUACACGAGCACACAAACAGAAAGAAAAACGGUCAUCGCAAAGUAGACAAAUCACAAACAGUAAAAAAAAUAUAUAGAACGUAAAGAUUUAUGUAGAAAAUUUUUUACAGAAAAUAAAUUACAGGCGUGUAAUUAAGGAGAGAACUUUACUAUGAAAAAGAAAGUACUAUAUUGUAGAAGUAAAAUACGAUGCAUCGCCGCUAGGGCAAAAAGAAGAAAGCUUUUUUUAAUAGAUUUGUAAGUUUUUUUUUAAUAAAUUUGUUCAGUAUUCAAUCUGAUUGGUCUGAGCCUCUAGCCCAUCACUGACAUCUCCCUUUUCCUUCACUAAUUAUUUUUCGAAAUUUGUCCUAUCACAAAGCUAUCGGCGAACCAGGAGUACAAAAUCAAAACUGACAACUAAAUUUGGAGACACAUCUAAAAGUAUAGAUAACCAAAAAUAAAUAAAUAAAUAAAAAUAAAUAAUAAAAAAAGCAAAAAAAUUUUGACUCUUUGAUUCUUCAUUGGUCCAACAAUUGUGGACUGAAUCUCCAAGUGCUUUAAGAUUUGUGCUAUUGGAGUCCAGUUGUGAACACCAAAAAAUAUAAAAAUAUUGUGUUCCAGUUAUGGGGCUUCAAACUUUGCAUGGAGAAAAAAUUAUUGGACACACAAUGGGCACAAAAAUAAAUGGGUUUUGCAAAAAGUAAUACAAUUAUUGUACUUUUUUUCUUUUUUUUUGCAACCCUAGUCAACUUUGUGUUUCUUGCAAUUUUGGAACAAAAUAUCUGAAAAGGAAUUUUCAACAAUAUAAACUAAAUUUUUUUUAAAAAAAAGUUCAUUUUAAUUAGAGCUAUCAAAAUUAACUAUUUCUAGGAUUAUUUAUUUGAUUAAUUUGGUUAUCUUUUUCUUAUGGAAUAGAAUCAUUAUCAUCCAACUCAUUACAAAAAUAUUUUUACAAAAUUCCGCGAUCAUCAAAAAAAGUGCAAGACUUAAAUUGAAGCAAAAUUUUAUAAUAAAAAGAUAAUUGAAACAUGAGAUAAAGUGGAAAGAGUUUUUUUUUCUUUUAAGACUUAAAAGUGAAACUCUGAAUAGUUGAAUGUGAUCUACAAUACUUGAAAAGGACAUUACGCAAUAAAACUCGUCAAAUAUUAUAAAGCCGUUGAUUUUUAUUACCACUUGAUACUUAACUCCUAAUGUUUCAAAGUAAUCAGAAAAAAUAGAAGCCUCGUUUGAUAUUAGUCUUUUUUCGCAUUUUAGAUAAACUUUUCAUAUAAAAUAAUAUAAACAUCUGAGGUAUUUAUUUGGCAACCAGAAAUAAAAGCCUAAAAGUAACUUUUUUUCACUUUAAAAUUUUUUAAAAAAAGUUAUUAUCAUCACUAACCAAUCAUAACAAUAAGAGAAAAAAAAAAAAAGUCUGCGUUCAGUACUUUUAAUCAGUAUAUCAAAUUAUAUAGUAUUAAAUAUUUAAAAAAAUUUAAAAAAAAAUUAAAAUGAUACCAAACAUGGCCUAAAAGUUUGUCGGCCCGUAAGCAAAAGCAGCUCAACCAUUUCUUUUGCCAUCUAUUUCACUUCAAAUUAAUAUAAUAUAUCCUUACACGAAUUUCUUUUUUCAUAAAUAAAUAAAAUAUAUUAUAAUCAUAAAAAUAGUCCCUCGAAAUUUUCUUUUAAAAAAUUAGGAGAACAAAAAAACGGUGAACGAAUCAUCAUUUUCUAAAUACUGCAAAUCUUUCACCGCUUUAUUCAAAAUAUUAAAACCAUUUAGAAAUGCUCAAAAAAGCGGUGAACAGCUUAUCUUUUUCUAAAACGGUAUAUAUUUGCUAAAGUUCGCACUUUCAGAAAUUUAAUACUUCGCUUGAAUGCAGCUAAUAAUUACUGUUUUUAAAAUGCGUCAACGAUUCACCGUGUUAUAAAAACAGAGAGAAACUUCAAAUGCCACCCCUGUGAUUUCACACUUUCUCACUUUAGUACCAUAUGGUUUAAAGUGUAUCAAUUUAGUGACAUGCGGUUUUAUUUUUGUCUUUUUAUUAUCGAUUCCACUAAUUUUUUCAUUAAAUUAGUGACAAAGUAAAAGCUAAAAGGUACUAAAGUGAAUAUCCGAUAAAUCUAGGUGGAGAAUUUGAAGUUUUUUGUAUAUAAUUUAAUGAAAUAUUAAUGAAAAAACUGACGAAAAGAUAAAACUGAAACCAUAGGACACUAACUUGAUACACUUUAAACCACAGGAUACUAAAGUGAGAAAGUGCAAAACCACAAUGGUGGUAUUUGAAGUUUACCCUAAAAGCAGUAAACAGUUUCCCCUUCUUCUCCCGACACCAGGUUACCAACUUCCUUGACCUUCCGGCACUGGGCAGGCGUCAACCCCCAUACAUGGUCUUACGACUUUGCGGAGACCUAUGUUUUUGGUAAACAGUCGCUCGGGCCUGGUCAAUGCGACCCCCUUUGUGAGGGGGCACCCCUUCUCCCGAAGUUACGGGGCUAUUUCUAAUAUUAAAAAUAGGCUAAAUUACAGAAAACCUCCCUGUCAAAGCUCGAUUUUUCACUUUCCUCCCCUGUCAUUUAAAAACCUACACUUUAUCCCAUUGUAAAAUGAAAAAUAUUCACAGGGGGUACGGUGUGAACUGUGAUGAUAAAAUGACCAUUUUGCCCCUCACCAUUUUGCCCCCACCAUGUUCACAGGAGAGAAAGCUAAGGGUAUUUUUGGCAUAAAAAUAUAUAUAAUAAUAUUUUAUAAACGGAACCCUAACGGAUUACUAACGGCAGGGGGCGAAGUGAACAUUUUUUUAUUUUAUAAGAGGGCAAAGUAUAGGUUUUUAAAUGACAGGGAGGGAAAGUGAAAAAUCGGAUUUUGACACGAGGGUUUGAUAUAAUUUAGCCUUAAAAAUAAGAGUUCCAAAGAUCUAUAUUUAUAAUUAAAAAUCUCUAUAGACUUACUUGCCAAAAAUUUCUUUCUUAGAUCGGUCAGAUCAUAACCUAGUGCCCAAACCGGUUUAGUUCAACCCAAAAACCAGACCGGCUUAAAACCCGCUUUGCCGACUCAAACUAGUGAUCAAAUCAGUGAAUCGUGGAACAAAACCCAAUUUUAGAAGAACCGGUCGGAUUUUUUUUUAUUUUAUAUUUCAAUAAUUAAGGGUAAACUUCAAAUACCCCCGUGAUUUCACAUUUUCUCACUUUAGUACUCUAUGAUUUAAAGUGUAUCAAGUUAGGCCCUAUGGUUUCGCACUUUCUUACUUUAGUACCCUGUGGUUUAAAGUGCAUCAAGUUAGUACCCUAUGAUUUCAUUUUUCUCUUUUCAUUAUCCAUUUCACUAAUUUCUUUUCAUUAAAUCAGUGACAAAGUUAAAAUUAAAGGGUACUAAAGUAAAUAUUCGAUAAACCUAGGUAGGGUAUCUAAAAUUUUUUGUAUAUAAUUUAGCGAAAUAUUAACAAAGGAAAAAAAAUCAGUGAAAAAAUUAAAACUAAAGAGUACUAAAGUGAGUAUUCGAUAAACCUAGAUAGGGUAUCUGAAGUUUUUUGUAUAUAAUUUAACGAAAUAUUAACAGAGGGGCCGACGAAAAAAAAAAAAUGAAACCACAGGGUACUAAAUUGAUGCACUUUAAAUCACAGAAUACUAAAGUAAGAAAGUGCGAAACCACAGGAUACUAAAUUAAUACACUUUAAACCACAGAGUACUAAAGUGAAAAAAUGCGAAACCACAGGGGUGGUAUUUGAAGUUUUCCCAAUAAUUAAUUAAGAAUAUGCAUUAGUUUUUUUUAAUAAUCUACACUUAUGAUACAUUUUUAAUUAUAUAGAGUGCAAUAAUAUUUAAAAAUAAUAUAGAGUACUAUAUCGGCAUAUAUUUUGUAAUAUUAUAUAUUAGUAUGAACAAAUAAUAAUUAAAUAUUUAUGACGCCAUAUUAAUGCCAUUCAGCAUGGUAGUGGUUGAACCACUGGUUGAAUCAGAGACCCGUCGAGAGCAGUAGGAUAACUUCAAGUUGAAAAGAUAGAAAAGAAUAAUAAUAUUUCCGUACAACUAUCCUUCCAGAAAGAAUCUCUGUUACAAAGAAGACUUUCUCCGCGAAAUGAGUCAAAGAUGCCGAAAAUGAGAAGAGCAUAAACUGCAGGAAUAAAGUUUAAGAUUACAAGCAUUCUUGCAACACAGAUUCUCUAUCCUUUCAGAACACAUAAUAAUGUUGAAGGGAAUCAGCAACCAUAUUCUCAUCUCCCAAGUGACAACAUGAGGAAUCAAUGUUUAAAUAAGAUGAUUCUGCGUGUCCGGCAGCUCUAAGCAACACACACCGCACGACGUAAAACGGAAGAAAAAGCAUCGACGGCAAGAAGCUGACUUUCUUUCGCUUCUGCUCAUUACCUGCGUUCUGGUGCGUCCAUUAGCCGGUCAUUUCCGUCUCUUUUGGGAAAAGAGACUGUAAUAUACGACGAAUCUGACGUAAGCAGCACUCAGAAGCAAGUUCUAAAGAAGUUCAAAGUUUACUCAGAAUUCAAAACAUCAGCAAGACUACUUGAAUCUGCAGAUCUUCUUGGCCUCUAGAAGCUCGAGAUAUUUCAUAGUUUCAACAAAAUAAUAAUUGCUUUAAUCGAACAACACUUUUUCACAAAGCUCUAGCCAUGCUAAACAGAACCGAAUUUGGAAAAUUGACUAUGGUGAGAAAUCCGUAAAAGGCGCAGGAAAUAAAACUUUGAACACCUCAAUGAUGUGUUUGCAACCUUUUGAUUUGUACACCUAUUGAACUAUAGAUUCAUACUGCAGGAUUUUUAUGAAUAGAAGCAGAAUUGACAUCCGACCUAGAUACCGAGAAGUAAAAAAUUGUGAAGUUUUCACUCGUCAGAACGGAAACACAAAAUACAUGGAUGGUUCGACGACAGGAGGAAGAUCAUACAGUGUCCGUAACAGUUAAAAGCGUUCAUCAACAUGCAAUUUGAUUUUGGUAUACUCAUUUGCAAAUUGCCAACAAAUUGAAACUUCCGAAGGGAAUCAAGGACUAAACAAGUGGUAAGACAGCAUAUUCAUCAGGGAAAAUCAUUCUUAUUAAUAAGAAAAAAGGGCUCUCUUUUCUCAUUUUCUUCAUAAUAUAAGAAUUUGCUUGAUGUUUUCGCUCGACCUUAUUUUCUCUAUCUUCUCAAGUAACAAAGUUGUAGCACAUCGACUAACAAAAUCAUUAAUCAAUUUCGCUUCAACUUUUGUUGCUAUUGUCAUUGAAAUCAGCAGAAUUUGCUAAGUCGAGAUUCAUAUACGCGCACAAUAAACAUCAAUUGUAUCUCUACAUAGCCUUUGAAUAUUUAUUGCAAAUUGGAAUGUUCUAGAGGAGUGACUAGCUCUCUCUCUCUUACCGUCAUUCCUAAUAUACAAGCAUUUAAGAAUAUGGUACAACCAUCAAAUUACUUCUAGAAGACAUCAUAAAUUGUGGCGUAAAAUAGAUUUACUCUACUAGCUUUAAGCCAGCGAAACUUUUUCCCUAAGAUCCAAACAAAAGGAACAGUAAGUGUCUCUUCCAUGGAGCAAAAGACAAAAUUGAAGUUAGAAAUAUCGAUUCAAUUGAACAAGUUAAUAAGUGAUCACUUCAUUCCAAGGCCAGGCGCAUAAGAAUUCCAAUCAAAAUAUUAGCAGUACGAGGGUGAAUAAAAUGCAAGAAUAUUCAUCUUAGCUCUUAUUCCCUGCCUUGCUUUCUUGCUCGAGCAUGUAAUUCUUCUUCAUGUCUUCCAAGACACUGUCAUUGGUGCUGUCAAAAAUAUAAAAAAAAAAAAUCAAAAGUGAAUAUACAAUUCCCUUCCAUUUGUAAUCACCUUUUAUCUAAAUGUCUGCACUAGGCGAUAAAUGGGCUAGUCACAUGCCAAUCAUUACAGCCUAUUUCCCUAGAAAUGUAUAUAAACCUUAUCCACUGCAUUCAAGUGAUAGUUUUAACACAUAUUGACAGAUUUGGACUAUAUACAGAUGUGCGCUACCUUGCAUUCUUUGUGCCACUUUGUUUAUAUAUCAUGAUAGUUAACAUUACUAGCAGGUACAAAGAUUCAUGAAAGAGUUUACUUUGACUAUUCCUAGCCGUGAAGCAUGGAAACUGGUAUAGGAUGCUGGUAUAAGGAUGCUGGUAUAAGGAUGUAAGAAUCUGGAGGUCCACAGAGAAGUAGGAUAAUGUUUGUUAGCAAAAUGCCAAUAUUACUUUUUUGUGUUUUUGCAUGAUUGUUCAUUUCUUUAAAAAAAUUGAUCAUCCACAUAGAAAUGUCCAGCAAAUAUGAUAACAAAUUUAAGUUAUAACGAAGACACUUGAAACAGUGAGAAAUUUAUUAAUCAAGACUUCCACAGCAUCAUAAACACCAAAUUUUGUUGUCUUACAAAUUUAUUGGAUAUAAUGAGUACAAGAUGUAAGUUCAUCAUCGAUUUACGAAGGAAUAUUUCCGACAAUACCUAAAUAAUCAAAACAAAAGUUAGAGGGAUAAUCACAAUAAACAUGUGAGAAAUAUAAACAUUCAUAAGCACAAAGUAUCACAGCCAAUUACUUAGGAAAAACCAGUGUAUUUAAGUAGCAACAGUAGAAGAGCAAUUCUACAGAAACAAUCAAAGAGGCAAAAGUUUGCAGAGUUAUAGCAAGUCUUGGAUAUUACAGUCAUUUUUUGCUUCACCAUAAUACAUACAAAACUUUUUGACCCCCUGAAAAAGGAGCCAAAGUUCUUCUGAUCUUUGACAAAAAGAUGCCACAUAUAUGAAACCCUUGUUGAAUUACUAGUAUACGCCAAUUGUCUCACAUCAAAUAAUGUAGGGACAUCAGAUUGGUGUAAAAGGACUAGCUCUCUAGUGUACACGACUUAGGGUUAAGCAUUUCGUCCCAAUGGUCUAAAUUUAACAAACUGUUAAUACUGGUGCUUUGGCCGGGCCCGUACAUAUAGCAUCAAAGCAACUCUCAAAGGUACUAUUAUGUGGAUUCAGCUGAUUGUCCGUUCAGAGUGUUGCCAUGGACAAGGGGAGCAAGACACCAAUGAUGAUGCAAUAGUUUGGUUGGCUUCGUGCUUCUAGAAACCCACACGGAUAUCUACUUCAGGGAAAGUAGGACAUGUAUGUGAAUCUGACGAGGAUAUCAAGGCCUAAACGGGGAUCUUGUGACCUCCUAAUUGUCAUGCAUUGGAUAGUGCGACGACAAUAAUGUGGUAUACAAUGACUAGCAUUCUAGUACUCGUAAUUUGAACUUACGUACUUUGGGCCAGUGGUUUAGGCCCAACGAGUUGCUAAUACUAGUGCAUUAGGUUGGACCAUAGAAUUCACCUUGUUGAUUGAUGAAUGGAAGAAGUAAAAUGCAAAAGAAUUUGUUAUACAAUAAGAUGGCGCUAGCAUUCUAUCUAUACUCACCAAAAUAUUGCCACCAUUUUAGUGUGAGCUGACAUACAACAAUUACAGCUCAUAUAGAUACAAAACAAAAUCAAAAGAGGGUAAAACAACAAAUAACAACCAAAACAGAUCAUCAAAUAGUAAUUUGAAAAGCAAAAAAUAUGACCAAAAAUGCAGAAUUUUGGAAUUUUCUAUCAAGUUUUGACCAGAACCUAUGAAAAGGCAAAAUUGAUCGAAACAGUUUGAACGAAAGCAUUAGUCCAUGGCAUCGAAAUCCCCAAUAUAUUAAAAAAAUUGAAAGUAAAGUCGAAUAUAGUGCUACGAAUGAACAUACUAUUGAUGCAGGCAUUCAUUCAACUCUUUCGCAUGUUUACGGCAUUGCCAUACUACAGAUAUAGUUCUUCCUGCAGCACAUUCAGCAUACUUUGCAGAGUAAUAAUUGCAUUCUUUGAGCGCCUUUUGCUUCAUUUUGCUGCGUAAAGCUGGGAAAAAUCUAAUUAGUAUUGACAAAGAAACUAAUUUGGAAAGUCGUAAAAAAACAUAUAUUAUUUCAGUUUGCCCUUUCCUACAUAAUAAAGUAAUAAGAUUUUUUUUGUUAAUACUCUCUGUACAUCUUUACCAUAAUGAAAUUUCAUACUCAUGAGUCACAUAUUUUCUUCUACAACAUGGAUCUUCUACUUUUGGUUGGUCUAACAGGCCAAGAAAUACUUUUCUAUAUUCUUUUCGCAGAAUAAUAUGAAAUUAUGUAAAAAUAUACAACACAAACAGAAAAGGCAUUCAAGGCGUUUAUAGUGCAAUACCAUGAAACAUGCCACGAAAGCAUAUUGUGAUAAAUUAACAAGAGUUCAUAAGAUAUUUCACUCAACUAGAGUUUUACUUUAAGAAAUAAAAGCAUUUAGGGCGUUUCAUAGUCCGAUAUCAUGAAACAUACACGAUUAAGUACCACAAAAACAUGUAGUCAUAAACUAACAAGAGUUCAUAAGAUAUUUCACUCAUCUAGAUGUUUACUUAAAACAUAAAGGCAUUUAUGUAAAUUGAAGCUCGAGUCUAGUCUCUAGUUCAUGGUGGAAUGGAAGUCGCAUAAAAGUUAGAUGUGGCAAUUUAGAAUUACACGCGUUAUCUUAUUGUCUUCGGUUGGUCUUGUCGAUCUCAUUAGCUCAACUAGAUUGACAAGAUGUCACCUUCUGUGACUGUCGUGCUUGGGAGAGAGAAAAAGAGAGAGAGGAGAAAGUAGAGGACCAAGGUUUAUUAGCAAUAACGUACAACAAGAUUAUCAACUUACAUUAGGUUGGAUUCAGUUUGAGAACUCAAAAAGUCAAAUUCCAUUUCAAGUUUCUGCAUAUCAAUGCUAUAGUAGGCUAUCAAACAUUGAAACCAGCAGGUGUGAUUUCGCCCUAGUUUGGUCGUUCCAUACUUCCAGUCAAGUGAGAUUUCUAGGUUUACAUAUUGCUUAAGCCUUGGGAAAGAGUUCAAAAAUAUAGUGGGCAUUUUUACAAGCCCAGCAAUCCAUGUAUCAUCACCAACUUACUAACUACGCUGUCAUCCUAUAAACUCACUUCCGAUUUCAUUGGUGUCACAUAAAUCUCCCUCCGCAAAGUAUCCCGGCCAAUACACUCUUGAAACCAAAGAUCAGUUCGAACACUUUGUUGAUGAUCGAACUUGUAAGAUGUUAUUUGCAUCAGAAGCCGUAAUAGGUUUUGCCCUUAAACGUCACUAACAGCUUCUAUUUAAAGCAGAGCAAGAGCUUACAAAGUGGAGACUCUUAUUCAAGGGAUGCAAAGUACAUUUCAGCUUCAAAGUGGAGCCAAAAUCUUGAGCAUUUUGAAUUUCAAAUGUCUGGUUUCUGUAUCUCAAUUUUUUUUCAGAAGCUCUUAGAAACAACAUAGCAAGCCCUAAAACUAGAACAUAAUAAUAAGUAGUAAAACUAAAAGCCUAGAAAAGAUUCAUGAUGACCUCCUCCUUUUUUUUCCUCUGAUUUUUGUUUCAUAAGUUAAAAUAUAAUUAAAAAAAAAAAAAAAAAAAAAAACUUAAAUUUCUAGUACCAGAUUAGAGAGACUUCAAACAUGAAACUAGCAAGGAACAGCUACUUUAACAAGACCAUCAUAGAUAAAACCCAUUUUUACAAUCCAUCCCUCUAUCUAAUCCCUCUAAAAAUAUUGCACAACUAUAACUUAGACCCUAUAUUCCAAUAACUAAAAAACUAUUGUCCCAAACCCUUCCUUUCAAAAGCUAAUCACCCAUGGUGUUUCUGAUGGUUCAAAAUUGAUCUUGCAUCCAUAUAUCUCAAAUUAAAAAAAAUAAAAUAAAAUAAAAUAAAAGGUGGAUCAAAAAUGAGAUUUUGAGGGGAGAAAGGAGGGGGCUGUGAGUAGGGCUUUUACCUUCUUCCACCUUCUUCUUGACAUGGUUUUCUCUAGCUUCUUGGAUAUACCCCAUUACAGAGAGAGAGAGAGAGAGAGAGAGAUUGUUGUUCUUUAAUUAGAAGAGGGGAGAAUAAGAGUAGAGAGAAGAGAAGAAGACCACCCUUGAUCUUACUGGGCCAGAGUCCACAACAUGAAAAGAAAUCCCAGCAUUGCUUUAAUGGCCUUUAAUGGGCUUUAAUGGGCUGUGUUAAACUAGAACCCAAGUCAAGAUUGAGACUUUGGGCCCAAAAAGAUUUGGAUUUGUAUAUACAAGCCCAGAACAUACUCUUUUAGGUUGGCCUAGGAAGCUCUACUUUUGGCUACCAGGUCCUCAAAAAUUUCUACUUCUAGAGUUCAAAACCAAAAAGAAUAAAUAAACGAGUCCUAGUUGAUAUCUGAGAUCUCAAAUUUGAAUCGCACUUUAUUCAUAUUUCUGGCAAAGUUCAUUUCUAAAAGAAAUAAACGAAGCGUGUAGUAUUUUAUCUUUCUCUCUCAAAAAAAAAAAACAAAAAACAAAAAAAAAUGAAGAAAAGAAAGUAAAUUGUGGGGCUAGUAUCUAGAAUUUUGUUGAGUUUCGCAUUGGUAUUCAAACUUUGAUGUUGAGAAUACAGUGCCUGCAUCGGUGUGUCAUGGGCAGCAGGCGAGAUAGAUUUGGUGUACAUCCAUAGGCUGCAGGCUAUGGAUGUAUCCAUUUAGAACCUACAUGCGCAAAUCUUUGACGGCAAUCAAAUAUAUAGGAAUUUAAUCUUGACAUCCAUCAUAUCGGUACUCAUUUUGAUGUAAUGCGCAGCAUUACAAGUAUAAUAAUGAUAAGACAUACAAAAAGUUGGAGACGUCAAGGAGGAAUUCUACACUAUCACACUUGCACCACGUUAUCAAUAACAAGCCAAUCACAUUCCUUCUUUUCAAACAAAAGUACAAUAAAAAUACUUUUUUACAAUCAUAAUGGGACAUAUAUUCUUAAAAGGAUUAAUUUGAUUGGUUUGUUACGCCACGUCACUAAUAUACCCGUUGCAUUCUAGAAUUUUUCGACGUCAAGACCCUGACGCUUUUGAAAGCACAGUAAGAUAUUAAAAUAUCCCUCUCUCUAGAAGCAAGCAUUUAUGAACAAAUAAUACUAAGAAAAACCAAGGAGAGAUUCAUUAUGUAGUAACUAUGCAAGUCAAAUCAAGAAAAAGACAUAUAACUGCAAUGUUAUGAGAAAGUCAAAAUAAUAAUAAUAAUAAUAAUAAUAAUAAUAAUAAUAAUAAUAAUAAAGUUGAUAAUUAGAAAACAAGUUUUGUUAGAAAUUUAGUAAAUUUAGUUAAAAUUGAUUUUUUUUGUCGCAUAAAGCAGUCGGUAUUAGCCUCCACUUUUAACCUUAUAGGAGCGUAAGUAAAAUAACAGAUCUGUGUCCAUCUCUAUACUGCUUAACUUAUUAUUCUUUCUUUAGGAUAAAUUUCAACAGUAGUUAUUAAUUUUUGUUCUUAUUUUACAAGGCUCUAGACUUUGAUUUGUUGAGUUAUAGAACUUCAAUUUUCAAAACAUUCUAAUCCUAGUGACCGUAAUAAAUCAUUAUUUCUAAUCUAUCAAUUCGCCAAUUAAAAAAAUUAUAUACAUGGGGUUGGUCCAUAAUUUUUUUUUUUUUUCAUUUCUCUUCUCUACAAUCACAUAGUUUUGGAGCUUAUGGUGUAAUUUACUCUCUAGAAAUGUUUACCAACAUUGCACAUAAAACCACAGGGCAAAAUUCCAACCUAAAAACCCCCACAAACAUCACCAAACAAGUAUAUCACUUUUCACCUGUAGUUAAAGCAAAUAAAAAAAGGAAAAUAAAAAAAGAAACAAACAGUAGGGACAAUUUAUUUAUUAUUUAUUUAUUAUUAUUCAUAAGUGGUCUUAAAAGUGUUUCACUAUUCAUCUUUUAAUUCUAUGAUUAAACGUUAACAUCUCCGUGACCCUUGGGCAAAGUUACUUGAAUUGGACCCCAAAUAAAUAGUUGAAAAAAAAAAUAAAAAAUAAGAGAAAAGGACUAGAAGUUGCCCACAUAACUUUAUAUGUAAAUUGCAUUCUUGGCAUAAGCUUUUAAAUCAAUUCUCAAAUAUUUAAAUUUGACUUUGAAUAAUAUUUGAAUUUAAUUCUUAGUUCCUUUCAUAUUAGAAUUGUUAUUUUAGUUUGUUCAUCUGUGUCGGUCAUAUCUGAUAUGAAAUUGUUUAAAUGUAAACUCUUGACAUAAUUUAUUUUAGAUAGUUGUCAAUAUGCAAAUGAAUUUAAGUACGUAAAACUUCUCUAAAAUUUGAAUUUAAACUUAUGCAAUUUACUUCUUAAUUUUUUUUUGAGAGAGAAAGAUAGCAUCCUAUUCGUUUCAUUUAUUUCUUUUUAGAAAUAAACUUAGCUGAAAAUAGGAAUCAAUUAGGAUUCGAACUUGAAAUCUCAGAUACCAGCCAUUAAGUCUUUUGCCACUUACACUAGGGACGAUCAGUUUUAUUCUUUAAUUUGUUAUCUCUUCAAAUCGCACGCUUAACCAUACGCAAACAUUAGCUUCAUAAUUGGGUUUACUCAACCUAGUGUUAACAUUCAAUGGGUUCAAUAACUUUAUUAGUAAUUAAUUGCUAUAAAUUUAAUUUGGUAAUGAUGGAUGUAUACAGAUGUAUACAUAUAUUAUUCAAUAAUUAUUGGGAAAGUUAAUUAAAAAUAUUCUUUAGUAAUCAUAGAAUUAAAUUCAUUUUAUUUUAUUCGGUAUGAAAAUUUUUCGGUACUAUAAUAAGUAAAAAGUUUUUUUCUUGAAAAGUUUUGCUAUAUAUGAUUUUGUAGAAUUUUAUAUUUCACCGGAGAGGUGAUUUUUACUUUAUUCUGAAUUAUUAACUACUAAAUUUAAAAAAAUAUCAAUAAUUACUCCUUACUUUUAUUUAAAAUUUUUAAAUUUAUCAUGAAAUUACCAAAAUAUUUUUUAAAAUUCCAAUUCUCAUUAGUAAAUUCUAGGUAUUUGAAAAUAUUUGAAAAUUCUUUUGAAAAUCAAUAAGAGUAUUUUGGUCAAUGAGAAAUAUAUUAAAUAUUUUUAAAGUUCUGAAAAUUAUAUUAAAUAUUAUGUCUAAUAUAGUAAUAUUAUCUAUCUAUAUCUAUACAUUGUUCUCCCUAAAUUUACCAUAUCGUAACAUUCACUUCAAUUUUGAGUGUGGGCUCCACCUCAAACCGGUUCAAGUUUUCUACAUAUUUUUCUCUUUUUUUACUUCAACCAAAUCGAAUUUUUCUCUUUUUUUCUUUGAACAGAAUCAAUAAUCAUUGUUGAGUUUGGGCUCUCCCAAACCCGUUUAAACUUUUCACAUUUUUUUCUCUUUCUUUGCUUGAACCAAAUCUGAAUUAUUAACUACUAAAUUUAAAAAAAAUAUCAAUAAUUACUCCAUACUUUUAUUUAAAAUUUUUAAAUUUAUCAUGAAAUUACCAAAAUAUUUUUUUAAAUUCCAAUUCUCAUUAGUAAAUUCUAGGUAUUUGAAAAUAUUUGAAAAUUCUUUUGAAAAUCAAUAAGAGUAUUUUGGCCAAUGAAAAAUAUAUUAGAUAUUUUUAAAGUUCUGAAAAUUACAUUAAAUAUUAUGUCUAAUAUAGUAAUAUGACUUGAGCUAGAAUACUAUCGAUAGCAAACGGGCUCCGUUGCCACCCAUUUGUUUUCGAUGAUGGAGCCUCCAAAUCGAUGAUCGGCACCGUUGAAUAUGAUCGAUACCACUUGAAGUAUCUAGAAAUCAAAUCUCAUGCUUUUUCGAUAUUGUUCUCUUAUCCCUCAAGUGAGCGUAAAAAUGAACGGCUGAAAAUGAAUAUCCUCUAAAAAGUGAUAAUAGAAAUUUUGUAAUCAAGAUCGAAAGUAUAGAUCUUAUUCUAAAUAGUUUAAAGAAUUUUCUAACCAAAAUUCAAUUGAUUUGGAUAGCUUUACACCGUUAAACAAGAAAUUGUCUCAUAUCUACCAUUAAAAUUACAAAUUUUAAAACCCUUUGAUCAUUAGGUCAAUGAUGUCGAAAUGAUUUGAAAUUUGGUUUCUAGAUAUUUCAAGUGGUAUAGAUCAUAUUCAACGGUACCGAUCGUCAAUUUAUAAGCUCCAUCAUCGAAAACAAAUGGGUGGCAACGGAGUUGGUUUGCUACCGAUAGCAUUCCAGCUCAACUCAUAGUAAUAUUAUCUAUCUAUAUCUAUACACUCAUCUUCCUAAAUUUACCAUAUCGUAACAUUCACUUCAAUUUUGAGUGUGGGCUCCACCUCAAACCGGUUCAAGUUUUCUACAUAUUUUUCUCUGUUUUUGCUUCAACAAAAUCGAAUUUUUCUCUUUUUUUUUCUGAACAGAAUCAAUAAUCAUUGUUGAGUUUGGGCUCUCCCAAACCCGUUUAAACUUUUCACAUUUUUUUCUCUUUCUUUGCUUGAACCAAAUCUGAUUUCAUCUUUUUUUACUUGAACCAAACUGGUCAACCUGUUGCAUCGGGCCGAACCUGCCCAUCUAGUCCACAUGUUCCCAUCUUUGAACAGAAUUUUUUUCUUUCUUUAUUUGAACCGAACAGAUCACUGUUGCGAGUGCGGACUUCACUCCGAACUAGCUCAAGUUUUUCUUAUUUUUGCUUGAACCAAACCAAAUUUUGUUUGCUUGAAUAGAAUCGGGUCGCACUUCUGUAUUGGCCGUAAUUGUUCAUCUUUCUUUUUCUUCUAAUGGUAUCUUUUAUUAUUGACAGUAUAAACCCCAUCUCUCAUCAUUAUUUUUUUUAUUACCGUUUUCUAUUUCUUUAUCGCCGUUUUUUAUUUUAUUUUCUAUUAUUUAUCCGUAUCCGUCUUAUCGUACGAAUUGCUAUACUAAUUUUUAUAUAUUAUUUGACCUAAAUUUUAAAACAGCAUAAUUUAUUACAUAAAAAAAAAAAAAAAAUAUCGCGUGCAAAAAGGUGAAAGUCAUCUCGACCGUCGGAUUCAUCUUCGUAUGCGGACUGUCAUGUCAUGACGGGUGGGGACCGCAAUAUUUCUGCCAGCUGGCCGGACCGUGUUUCGAUUCCCGCGUUCGACACGUGGAUGCCAGCUCGGAGUAAUCCCGCCCAAAAACGACGACGACGACUCCGCCAGCCGGCUCAACCCAAUCGCGUUCUACGUACGUCUUCUCCUUUUCUUCAUCCCCCCGCCCAAAAAUUGCAGUUAAAAAAUAAUAAUAAUAAUAAUAAUAAUAAUAAUAAUAAUAAUAAAAGAAAAGGCUGUACUGCUAUGUGUUAACUGUAGCCCGUGUUGUAAUUAAUUAUCUUAAAAACCAAAUAUAAUAUCUUAAAAACCAAAUAUAAAUUAUUAUCUACUAAACUUUAAAAAUUCUAAGUAUUUUUUAAAAAUUCUAAGUAUUACCUUACUUUUAUUUAAAAUUUUUAAAUUUAUUCUGAAAUUAUCAAAAUAUCUUUUUAAAUCCCAAUUCUCAUUAGUAAAUUCUAAGUAUUUGAAAAUAUUUAAAAAUUAUAUUAAUUAUUAUGCCUAAUAUUAUUUAUCUAUAUCUAUACAUUGUUCCCCCUAAAUUUACCACAUCGUAACAUUCACUUCAAUUUUGAGUGUGGGCUCCAUCUUGAACCGGUUCAAGUCAUCUACAUAUUUUUCUCUUUUUUUGUUUGAACCGAAUCGAAUUUUUCUCUUUUUUUGUUAGAACAGAAUUAAUAAUCAUCGUUGAGUUUGAGCUCUCCCAAACCAGUUCAAAAUUUUCACAUUUUUUCUUUUGUUUUUGCUUGAACCAAAUUCGGUUUCAUCUUUCUUUACUUGAACUAAAUCGGUCAACCUGUUGCAUCGGGCCGAACCUGCCCAACUAGUCCACAUGUUUCCAUCUUUGAACAGAAUAUUUCUCUUUCUAGAUUUGAACCAAACAGAUCACUGUCAAGUAUAGACUUCAUUCUGAAGUUUUUCUUCUAUUUGCUUGAACCGAACCAAAUUUUUUUUGCUUGAACAGAACCGGAUCACACUUCUGCACUGGGCAUAGCUGUUCCUCUUCCUUUUUCUUUUACUGUUAUCUUUUUUUUAUUGAUAAGAUAAAUCUCACCCCUUAUAGUCUCUUCUUUCAUUACUAUUAUUUUUUUUUUGUCACCGUUUUUUAUUUUCUCUCCUAUCUUCUAUCGAUCGCAUAUAUAUGCAUUACUAUAUUAAUUUAUUUAUACAUUAUUUGACCUAAAUUUUAAAAAAUUAUAAUAACCGCAAAAAAAAAAAAAACAAAAUUUCGCGUGCAAAGAGGUCAGAGUCAUCUCGACCGUUGGAUUCAUCUUCGUAUGCCGACUGCCAUGUCAUGACGGGUGGGGCCCGCAAUAUUUCUGCCAGCUGGCAGGACCGUGUUUGGAUACCCGCGUUCGACACGUGGAUGCCAGCUCGGAGUAAUCCCACCCGAAAACGACGACGACGACUCCGCCAGCCGGCUCAACCCACUCGCGUUCUACGUACGCCUUCUCCUUUUCUUUUCCCCCAAAAAUUGCGGUUAAAUAAUAAUAAUAAUAAUAAUAAUAAUAAAAGAAAACGCUGUACUGCUAUGUAUUAAUUAUAGCCCGUGUUCUAAUUAAUUACUUCUCUUCGUCACAAAGCAAUCCACGACACCAUUUUCGUUUUCGGGUCAAAAUAUAAUCAACCGUUCAUCAUCAUCAUCAUCAUCAUCGUUUAUACCAUCUCUUUUCAUAGGUAUUUGUUACGGAGAAACUAUAAACGCCUCGCUUUCUAGAAAAUCAUUCAUUCUAAAAUUAUUUUAGUUCUGUCACAUUAUCUACUGUAUAAAAUAUUAUAAUCAAAUUAAAUAAUUUAGUUUUAUUAUAUCUUAUGCAUAUAUAGUAUUAUUUUAAAUUCUAGAGUGUCUCACGUUUUCGUAAAGCUCAAACGCACACUUACAAAAACCAAACGAGUCUUACUAAUCUUAACCAUUCUUAUUGGGUCAUCCGUCUUAACCAUUCUUAUUGGGUCGUCUGUAGUAUUAUUCUGAUUUAGCCGAAACUUAUCUCACGUUUUUCGCCCAGUACUUGACUCUGUUGUCAACUGUGAUCCCCCGCUUCGAUUCAUGGCUGUCGAAUCGUCGGCGCUAACCAUUAAUGCCAAUAACUCGAGCUGCUAAACAUACGCAACUAAUUCACUUAAAGCGUACUGAUAUAGCACCUACAAGUUUCGAUUGUGACUCACUCCAACCCGCCUUAAGCCAUUUCGAAUAUGAUUCGGUCCAAAACCCAACCUCAUGUCAUUUCAAACGUGAAGUUGACCCAAUCUAGUCUCCCACUAUAUGACAGAAUCUGGUACUUUUAAGUCAAUCCCAACCUCAUGGGUGUAAACACCAUUCAAAAUACUAUAACCGGAUUAAGAGAUGUAUUAUAUCUCAUUUCCAAAUUCUAGAAAUGACACAAAAAAUUUUCAAAUGUAAAAUUAAUUUACUUUCUGUUUAUUUCAAAAAUUAUAUUCAGUUCUUAAAUUAAAGAAAAAUAAUUUAUUUUUGAAAAAAAAAAUACUAAUCAAUCUAAUAGUUUGCUGACGGGGAAAUAAAUUUUACUGCUGUGCCAAUUGGUUUAAACAAAUUUAAAUAACUAAUAAAAAAAAAAUCUUACUAAAUUGGUUAAUUUAAACAGGUCUUUUCAUACUUAUGGCACAAGAUUAUAUAUACAUGACUUGUUGAGAGUGUUACAAGUAAAACAAUUAGGUAUAGGGCUCUUUGGAAUUUAGCUAAAUCUCUCUCUCAGACACACUCCAUAUAUGAAUUUACUUCACGAGCAAAUUACAUUUUUUUGGGUCCCCAAACUAUGAGAUGUGUGACACUUUGGUCCUUAAAUUUUAAUUUAUUAUAAUUUUUUUGAUUUUAUUAAAUCAUUAUAAUCAAGUUUCACAACCUAAUUUAAUUGGCUGAAUAUUGAUAAAUUAUUAAUGUAAAAAUAAUAUUAUAUCUUAAUUAUUGCCGCAUUAUCAAUCAUAAUAUUUUCAUAUCGCUACUGCAUUAAUAAUUUGUCAAUAUUUAGCUAACUAAAUUGGGUUCUAAGACUUAAUUGUCAUAAUUCAGUAAAUUCGGUUAAAAAUUAUAAUAAAUUAAAGAUUGAGUACCAAAGAGUCACCGCAUCAUACUUUAAGGACUAAAAGUGUAAUUUACCCUUAUUUUAUUGUUAGUAUUAAUUUAUGUGAGGAUGCUCUUAAAUUCUACCUGUUUGGUAGAUUGGCAGAGAAUAAAUUAGAAGAUGACAAUGAUCUUUUAAAAAAUAUAUAUAUAGAGAGAACUUGAAAAAACACGUGAAUAGUUCUACAAGAUGCUAAGCAGAUUGUGAGAGCCCAAAUAGUCCUAUAUAUGAGAUAUAAUAUGGCUAAACUCUUAACUCGGCUUAAGCAUUUUAGGUGGUGGCAAGGCCUAAGAGGUUAAGAUAGUUAAGCGUGUUAGGACAGGAGUAGUCCUAAGAUGGGUGACCCCCUGGGAAAUUGGGGCGUCACAGAUGGUAUCAGAGCCAAUUACCAGCCGGAAGUGUGAGAUGAGUCUCGGCUGAGCUAGUGUCUGGAUGACGGGCUAGCGAGACGAGUCUCACAUCGCCUGGUACUUGUGAGUCUGAGCCUGACGAGGACGUCAGGGCUUAAAGGAAGGGAGAUUGUGAGACCCCAGAUAGUCCUAUAUAUGAGAUAUAAUAUGGCUAAACUCUUAAUCCGGCUUAAAUAUUUUGGGUGGUGGCAAGACAUAAGAGGUUAAGAGAGUUAAACGUGCUAGGACGGAAGCAGUCCUAGAAUGGAUGACCCCCUGGGAAGUUGGGGCGUCACACAGAUGAUGAUGGACAAUGGAGGUUGAUAAUGGUCGUUGUCAAUAAUUAAUUCGAACAACGUUGAUUAGAUCAAUGGAGUACAGUAAAUGUUGAAAUUUAAUUAUUGACGUUAAAAUUACUUUAUUAAUUUUUACAGUUAUGCUAUUUGUGCACCUGUAAAAUAAAUAUAACAUUUACACAUAUAUGUAUAGUUUUAAAAGUUGGUUCACAGAUGGUGAUCGACAAUGAUCCUAGACAAUCAAAGGCCCAUAUUUAUUCACUAGUUUUAUUGGUUUUAUUUUCCUCUAAAAAUCUAAAAGAGGUUUUGAACUUUUAGAUCGUGGGGUGUAAAAUGAAUAUUCUAAAAUAAAAUGUACAUGCAGUUCUUUUGUUUAUGGCAAUGCAAUGGUGAAUUUGGUUUUAGAUAAUACAUAGCGCAGGUAUGAAUUCUUUCGAGUUAUUAUGCUCGUCGUGAACGUGAGCAGCGAUAUCUAAACUAUUUUAAGUCAUUUUCUAUUAGAUCAUUACUUUUAGGUAGAAAUUGAUAGAGAUGUACUUAAUCAAAGUGUAGUACAAAUUUUAUUGGAUUUCAAGGACUUAAUUGUCCUUGGUUCCUAGUUGGUAACAAGUAAACAUUAAUCUAUUAUAUGAGAAAAUAACUUGGAAAACAACACAAGGAAUUAUUAAAUGCCUAUUCUUAGUGAUAAAUAAUUAUAAGGUGCUCAUCCUCAAUAAAUAAAUACUUUUUGAAAUGAAAUAAACAAAAAUAUAGAACAUUGACUUAUUUGGUACCUUAUUACAAUGAUUAAUUUUGAGAUCGAUGUACAAGUGGCACAGAAUAGGAGUUUAUAUUUACAAACUCUGUAAAUAUAAAAUUAUAUAAACACCGUUCUCUAGAAACUUUAGCUGUUAGAUAAAGGUAUUUAUAUAUUUUUAUAUUUAACAUGAUCGGCCCAUAACCCACAGGUCCCAGGAUCGCAACUUCCUUCUGAUACCAUAUGAAGCAACCGUUGUGUUGGAUCGUUGGCGCUAAUCAUUAAUUUCAAAAGCUCGAGCUGUUAAAAAUAUAUAUACAACCAAUUCACUCAAAGCGUACAGAUACAGCGCCCACGAAUCUCGAUUAUGAAUAGGCCCAAUCAGUCUCACGCCAUUUCGAACAUAACUCGGCUCACCUAGUCUCACCCCAUUUCGAACGCGACUCGGCCCAAUACAGCCUCCGGCCACAGAGCAAGAUGCUGGCCUAUUUAAGCCAAUACAUCGUACUCUAAAACUUAAAUUUUCAGAGAACGGUACGUGUUUAUAUGAUUUUAUAUUUAACAAACUCGUUAGGCAGAAAACUUUUGCUUAUUUCUCAUAAAAACUUUUAAUAAUUUAAUAAAAAUGUAAAAUUAUAAUUUAAAGCUAGUAGAUAAAUUAAAUGGAGUUAGCGCUAAGUAUAUAAAAAUAUGUUUCGCAUUUAACGAUGUGGGAUAAUAUAAAAUACCUUACUACCGACACACUACGAUAUGCAGAACGUAAUAUUACGUAUAAAAAUAAAAUAAAUAUUUUUUUAUCGUAACAUUUUACUGUAUAUAAUAUAAUUUUCUCAUAAUUUGAGAUGAAGCCUCAAGUAAUUCAAACGAAAACAAAUUAUAUAUGAAAAGAUUGAAUUUUAAGGAUGAGAAAUUCUCUCAAUCGAACUUAGUAAACUCUUGGUUUGGGUAAUAUAUUUUUGCAAAUAUUUUAGGCAUACAACUAAUUAAUAUCAUUACUUAAACCACCCCCCCAAAAUAAACGUAUUAACUAAAAUAAAAUUAGAUUAAAUGGGUGAAAAAACGGGUUCUAGUUGGACCGGGUCAAAUUGUUUGGUCCGAGUCCGACCGGUGUUGACUACGGCGUUGCUUCUUAAUUUGACUAGCCGUUGUGGUUUUGACAUACCAUACAUGAUACAUUGGAUUCCCCCCCCCCAAAAAAAAAAAAAAAAAAAAAAAAAAAAAAAAAAAAAAAAAAAAAAAAAAAAAAAAACCCAAAAAAAAAAAAAAAAAAAAAAAAAAAAAAAAAAGUACGAAAAAAAAGUACGAAAAAAAAUAUUUUAUUUAGUUUUAAAAUAGUAGUGUUUUGUGAAAAUUAUAUUAUUUUUAUGUUAAAAUAUAUUUUUUUAGAAAAGCAUUCUAAAUUUUUUAAAAUAAUUUUUUUUUAUAUUAUUGGCGUACCGUCACUUGAAAGAUAUAUAAAUUUCAUUGUGAAUAUAUUAAUACUAUACCAAAAAACUAUAUAAGUGAGCAUUUUUAGUAGUGCGGAUUCUUUUCAAAACAAAAAAAGUAAUAUUUAUGUGUUUUUAUCUCAAUAUGUUUUGAGCGAAUAUUAUUAGGUGAUUCUCGAAACCAAAUAGCCCACAAGCAUAAGCUUUUAGUACAAUGAGUAUUUUUGAAAACUAUUUUAUUAUAUAAACAUUACAAAAAAAAUAUUAUCUGAGUUGAACUAGGUGUUAUUAAUAGGACUAAGUUGUUCCCUGUGCAUUGUAGAAUUUUUUUAUUUUUUAAUGAUGUAGUAUGAAUUUAAUGAUCUACCAAUCUAGAAUAUUUAAUAAUUUUAAAAAAUUAUUUUUAAUAUAAUGUAAAAAAAAAAAAAAAACUCUGUGAAUAUUUUGAGUUUUGCUAGAAUACUAUUGAUAGUAAACGAGCCGUUUUACUACCUAUUUGUUUUCGAUGAUAGGGCUUCCAAAUUGACGAUCGGCUCCGUUGAACAUGAUCUAUAUCACUUCAAGUGUUUAGAAAUCAAAUUUCAAAUUUUUUUCAACAUCAUUUGCCUAAUGAUCAAAGGGUUUAAAAAUUUGUAAUUUUAAUGGUCGAUAAGAGGCGUUUUCUCGUUUAACGGCGUAAAGAUAUCCAAAUCAAUUAAAUUUUUGUUAGAAAAUUCUUUAAACUAUUUAAAACAAGAUCUAUACUCUUGAUCUUUGAUUACAAGACUCCUAUCAUCAUUUUUUAAAGAAUAUUUAUUUUCAGUCAUUCAUUUUUCUGUUCACUUGAUGGAUAAAAGAAUAAUAUCGAAAGUACGUGAAAUUUGAUUUCUAGAUAGUUUAAAUGGUUUAGAUCAUAUUUAACGAAACCGAUCGUCAAUUUGGAAGAUCUAUCAUCAAAAAUAAAUCGAUAGUAAAAUGACUCGUUUACCAUGGAUAGUAUUCUAGCUCAACUCGAAUAUUCUCGUGCUUAGUUGGGUUCAUGCUUUCCAACAAGGCGAAGGAAACGGCCAAAAAGCCAUUUGGAGCAAUUCUCCCUCCCCACUCAAAGCUGUGGGUCCCACAAUUCUCUUUUUUUAGCUCCAACAAGAAAUUGCUAUACUAGGUGCUUAUUCCAACAUGACCAGUAUGGAGAUUAUUGCAUAGACCUAGUUUACCAACUCAACCACAUGGCUCACUAAUCAUGUCGCAAAAGUUUGCCCCUCAGAUAAUCAAUCAUUCUAAAACUACUCUAAUUCUAACAUACAUAAUAUUUUUAAAUUUUUUUAAUCUCUAAAACUACUCUAAUUUUAGUAUGCGUAAUUUUCUUAACCUUUUGAAUCUAACAACUAUUCAAAUACUAUGACCGUGUUAAAAAAAAAAAAUAGUCAUAUUAUAUUAUAUAUAUAUAUAUAAUUAUUUUAAAUUUGAAAGGUGUUAUAUAUUUUUUUCUUUUUGAUCAUAAUAAUUUUGUUAGACUUAAACAUACUCAUAAGUACUAGGUGAUGCGAGUCUCGUCUCGCUGUCUUAGUCAUCGUCUCGCUAGUUUUAACCAAUCUUAUAAGGAAUCUGCGUCUCACUCACAACGAUGGUCAGUCUGAGAGUCACGCUCAACCAUUGUAUGGCCCUGACUUAGUGGAGACUCAUCAUAUGCUUUUGGUUGGUGAUUGGCUAUAAUACUAAUUAUGAUGUUUUGCUCUUUAGAAGGGUACUCAUUCUAGAACUACACUAACUCUAACAUGCUUAAUCCUUUUAAUUAUUUAGAUCUAACCGCCGAGCAAAAUACUAUAGCCGAAUUAAGAGAUUUUGGUUAUAUUAUAAUUUAUAUAUAAAACUAUUUCAAAUCUUGAAAGUGUCACCUUUGGCGCUAGUGUAAAACUGAUGUGUAGUUUUUAUUAAAAUUAAUAAUACAAUUAAAAUAAAUAAUAAAGGUUGAGAAUAAUAAAAAAAAAAAAUUGAUGGCCAAAUGGGUAAAGAUUGGGAUCAAAGUGCCAUUGAAGUUUUUGCUUUUUUAAUACUAAUUUGAAUAAAAUUAACCUACAGCUACAAGAGAGGGAAAAAAACAAAUAUUUCUCUUCAAAUAUUCCCGAACAUAUCAUUAACCCAUUUUAAUAGGUUUUUUAUUUUAUAUCUGUUCAAAAAUUAGUUAAAUUUCUAAUUUUACAAUUCAAACGAAAGUAUUCUCCACGUGUAACUUAAAAAUAUGCUGAGUGACAAAAAUGAAAACGUUAAAAAAAAAAAAAAAAAAAAAAAAAAAACAUAUCUAUUUGGAUUCUAUUUUUUUUUUUCUUGAAACAAUUAUUCAAUAAAAAAAUAGUAAUAGCAUUCAAUUAACUGUCAAGUUGAGCGCUUCUAUACUUUUAAAAGUUAAGAAAUAUUUGUAUUCCUGAUUUUUUUAGCCGUCAGAUCAUCUCAAAAUUCGUACAGCUCGUCUAGUACUAUAUAUUAUUAAUAGUGUAUUCUAUUAAGUUUUUUUUUAUCAGUAUUGCACAGAUUUUGAGGCGGUCCAGCGGCGAAAAAAUUAUAAGCAUAUUAUGCUUCUGCUUAUGUUAGAUCUUUUAAAAACACUGUGGACUUAAAAUUGAAUUUUCUAUUGAAGUGGACUUUGAGCAGAACUGGAGUUCGACGAAAACUACUUCUUUUCAACUGUUUGUUUCGCAGUUAUGAAAGUAAAGUUUCAUUAGUUCUGCUGUUUGUUUGGUAAGACAUGUAUCUAUGAUUUAAAACUAUAAUUUAUAUAUAAAUAAUAAAUAUUUUAAUAAAUAAAAAUAAUAGCAUUAUAUUUUUAUAUAAUUAAACUUGAUUUAAAAUAACUAAAUUAUUUUGAAUCAAAAGCGUAAAAGCAAUUUCUUUUUCACUACAUAAUAUACAGUGAUACCCAUUUACGACGACGUGGUAGACCGGGUCUACCAGCAACUUCCUCUACACAACACCUAAAACCCAAACCAAGACCAAGCCCCUUCCCGCGUUAUUUCUCCUCUCCUCCCCUCCCAAUCCUUAACCCACACGGAAUCUAUAUCUAUAUAUAUAUAUACUACUUAUUAAUAUUAUUAUUAUUAUUAUUAUCUUAUUAUAUUACAUCCCCUCAAGUAUAUAUAUACUAUAUUAUUCUUUCACUAACAAGAGAGAAAUUCUAGAGAGAGAGAGAGGAGGAUCGAGGAGAUCAAUUUACAAUUUUUUUAAUUUUUUGGAAAGAGAGAGAGAGAGUGAAGAUCUACGAGUGCUGAGAUGGGAAGGAAGCUGGACUUGUUACUGGGGAGGACGUCGCGGCAGACGGCGAAGCUGAAGACGCUGCUGGGGCUGGCGGUCUCCCGCCUCGCCGUCCUCCGCAACCAGCGCCAGGCCCGCUGCGCCGUCGCCCGCGGCGACGUCGCCGAGCUCGUCCGCCUCGGCCGCCUCGAUCACGCCCUCCUCCGUGUUCGUCUCUCCAUGCCCCCGCAAAUCUUAAUUUUUCUGGUCUUGCUGUAGGAUGUAGUGUUUUUUUUUUUUUUUUUUAAUGAAUUUGUCAUUACUCUCGCGAUUUUUCUAUUUUAAAGAUAUUUCAAAUUUUAAUAUUUUAGUUUCAAAAAAUUAAAAUUAUUUUUACAUACUUUCUGUGACAACAGAAAUUCUAAUAGAACUUUAUCAAACAGCGGUACAUACAUCAUGAAUUUGUAUAUAUGUAUAUAUUCAGGUAGAGCAAGUGAUCAGAGAGCAAAACAUGCUUGAUGCGUUUGUGAUGAUGGAGAGCUACUGCCACCUCGUCACCGAGAGAGCCGCGCUCUUAAACCACCAAAAGUGAGUCCUCCUCCUCUACUUAUCCAUAUCAAGAAAUUCGACACGAACACUCUUGAUUUCUCUUCGGCAUUUCAUCAAGCACGUUCGUCCGGCGCGUCUAAUUAAAUUCGGUGCAGGACGUGCCCCGAGGAGCUCCGCGAGGCGGUCGCCAGCCUCAUCUUCGCCGCGUCGCGCUGCGGCGACCUCCCGGAGCUGAACGACGUCCGGCACAUCUUCGUGGCGAAGUUCGGGAAGGACUUCGUGUCGGCCGCCGUCGACCUGCGCAACAAUUGCGGGGUCAAUCCGAAGGUACGAUUUUCUUACGGACUAUUUUGUAAUUUUCCGAGGGAGUUAAAUGCAAUAUUGAAAAAUUUUAAGGGCUGUUCUGCUAAAUUCCCCAUUUUUUGCUCUUCAUGAAUUGCAGAUGAUACAGAAGCUAUCUACUAGACAGCCGAGCCUGGAAAGCCGGCAAAGGGUGACGAAGGAAAUCGCCGCGGAGAAAGGGAUCAAAGUUGAAUUUUUCGAUGAGCCCGCCUCCACUGUUUCUGAGGUUCGAUCGUCGCAUUAGUUUUUUCGCAUAAUUUUUCAUAUGCAUGCAGUAUGAGCCACACUUCAAUUCAAAGUUUGUUCUGCAUAACAAUUAAGUCCUAUAUGAACUAUUAAGAAUAAAACAGUGUCGCGUUUGAGGAUGAAUUUGAAAUCCAGGUCGAACUUUAGGGUUUUGAUUUUGAAGUUAGGGACUAAAUUGUUACAAUUGAAAAAGGUUUAAAAGUUUUUGACAAUAUUCAUGCAGGAGGAGCAAACCCCGAAAAAGGGCAAGAAUGAGAUCCGGCCGUCGAUCAUUGAUCGGAAGCUGUCGGAAUUGGAUUUGGACGACAGCCUCUUAGUCGAGGCGGCAAAGAAGUACGCAGACGUCGAGGCCGCGGCGCAGGCCGCGUUCGAAUCAGCCACUUUCGCCGCGGCCGCCGCCAGGGCCGCGGUCGUGCUCUCAAAGUCGGAGUCUCAAGGAAAAGGCUCCGGUGAUUGGAGGAACAAUACGAGCACCAACUAUAGCAAAAAAGACGAGAGUUUUGAGAAGUUGCAAGAAGGGGAGUUAUCACCCAAGGAAAAAGGCCUUUCUCAUAAAGGACUUAGAGAGAAGUUCGUUGCGGAGCAUUUCUCGCGAUCUUCGUCUUCUUCUUCGAGCGGAGAUUCCGUCGAGAUUCAUUAUAAAGAAACAAGCAUGAGCUCGAAGGCGUCGGAAGGACAUAAAGGAAAGGAGAAGUUUGUCUUCAAUACGAGCAACGACAAUGCAGAGAAGAAUCAGAGUUUCAAAUCGACCGAAGGGUUCGAAACCAAGCAACAGGUCUCGUACCUUCGGCCGCCAUAUCGGAGGGGAGACCAAGUGAGAUACAAAGAUCAUGGUCAUUAUGAAAAUAGCUCGAAGGACGAGGAGAUUGGCAAUAAAAUGGACGAGUUGAACAAAGAAUUGAGGAGACAACCGGCCUCAGUUCGAACCCGAAGAGCACUUUAGUGGCGAAUUUUGAUCAGAAAUAGUGUUCAAUAGAAGUUAAUUGGUUCUUCUCUUUUUCGUAUUUGUUAUGCGAUGUAUGUCGAGUGAUGUAUCCUUUGUUUAAAAUUCUGAGGAGCAGGUAAAUAUGCCUUCAAACUAUAAUUUUGUGGGAGAAGGGCUUAACUGAGACUACAGUUUUGAAAUUUUUUGCUUAUAAUUUUGAUUUGCUUAUUAUAUUUUUAUGGACAUAUUAUUUGUAUGCGUUGCGUCUUUGGGAUUGUACAUAAAUUAUUGAAUACAGUAUUUCUAGAGGAAGUAGAUUUCUUUAGCAGCAUUUUGAUGUAGAGGAAGUGCAUUGCAGGUUAUUGGAGAUCUAAUACUAAUUUUCACUCUUACAGCUUCAUUUGGGAUGGUGAUGUAGUUGCAAAUUUUCUUUAGAACAGUUUAAUCUAUUUCAGAUCAUCUUAUACUGCAACUUACUUGCAAUUUAGUUCAGAAUCUUGUUUAUGGUUAUGUUACAGUAGAUUAUCUGAUCAAAGUUCAGGGUUGAACAGCUUGGAAUAUGGAAGAGCUCAAUAACUUUUAGAUUUCUUGUUGCUCAAAACUUAGCAAUGCGAUUUCGCAGAAUUCGGCAAAACUUCAAUCCCUGAAGCUUGUGUAAAAAAAUUCCAAUGUAGUCCCUGCAUUUCAAUUAAGUUGUUAAAGGGCUGGGCCUAUUUUGGGCCCGGAAUUGGCAUUGGCCCAGCUAAAUGUAAGGCAAGUUCCAAAUUGGGCUAUUGUUGAAUAUAAUUAUUAAAAAUAUCAUUUUCUAGCAGUUUAAAAUUUUGGAGAACAACGAAUUUAUCACAUAAUUUAACAUGAUAUCCACACAAGGGGUUCUAAGUUCGAGUGACGUCAGGCUCCUAACAUGUCUCGAAUUCAGAUGUGAGGAAGAGAAUUACAUAUAAUUACUAAAAAUUACCAUUCACAACGGUUAUUUCAUAGAAUUUACAAACUAUAUUUUAUUUGGAAUAAGGUAAACUGUUGGGUAAUUGGAUUGUUUUUCCCAAUUUAAAACAUAUGAAAUUUUAUUCAUAGAUACUUCAAAUAUUUUAGAUUGUGAGUAACGAUAUCGAUUAUCAAUUUAGAUUUUAAGAGUUCAGUGCUCUUAAAAGAAUAGUAACUUGACUCAAUAUUACACUAUAAUACCUUAGUAUUGUAAGUGGCCAAUAUUUACGUUUCUAUUUAAGAACGUGCUUUUAAUUUUUCUCAAUUUAUUUAGUAUAACUAUAGAUAAAUUAAAUGAUGUUUUAAAAACCGAAGCGGUAAUCGAACUGGAAAGAGAAGAGUUUAGGGAUCUGAGGUUCAACCAGGGUUAAACCGGGCUCGAAGCAUAAAAGAUACUUUAUACAAAAACAUAAUAUAAUAUAGAAUUAAUUAUAUAUAGGUCCCUAUAAAUAUAGUGAAUUGUAAAUAUAUUCACAAAGUUUGACUUUCGUAUGUUGUACCUACAAAAAGUCAUAAUGUUUUCAAAUAUGUCUCUGUCGUUAGAAUUCAUUAGAAAAAUUUAGUUAACCAUAUGUUACAUAUUUAUCCAUAGGUAGUUAAUAAAGUGAAUUGACAUUUUUAUUUCUCUUCAAUUACUAGUUGAGAUGGACAAAUAUUUUAUGGUAAAAAGGUCAUUUUAUUUAUAAAAUAGACAGUAUUUUAACGAUAACAAAACAGAGAGACAUAUUUGAAAAUAUUAGGACUUUUGCAGUGACAAUGCAUGAAAGUUGAACUUUAUAUAAAUAUAUUUGCCAUUUACUAUAUUUGCAGGGACUUGUAUGGAAUUAACCCUAUAAUAUAUAUGCUUAUAUAUAAUAAUUUUUGUAUAUUUUUAUUACUAGACCUAAUAAAUGGACAGAUUGGACAACCCACGAGCAGAUCAUUGUAUCCGUACAUAAAUUAUGCAGGUGAUGACAGAAUUUACCAAUAAAUUUUUGGAUAACCAUCAUUCUUACUCAUACUAGCCCGCGGGUUGAUGGGAGGGUAUACAUUACCUACAACAUAAUUUUUUUUUUGCCCCCCUUUUUUUAUUAUACUUUACAAACACAACUAACUUAUUUAUUAUUUUUAAAAGAUUAAAAUUUAACUUAUUACCAGACCUGUAUGAAAUUUGAAUUCUAUGUUUAAACUCAUUAUUAUGUUCUGAUUUAUAAGCUAAAUUUUUAAAUUUUAUGUUAUAUUUUAACUUUUAAACUUGCAUUUUAUUUUAAAUAUUUUUCUUGUGAUAACUAAUUUUUUUUUCAUCUCAAUCUCAAUCAAACAAUAAAAAUAGAAAUUGACUCUUCUAAUUUCAAUUGUCCUUGUAAAUCAAAUAUAUGAGGAGAUUUCACUGUUCUAUUGCCAAUUCCAGCCCAUUCGGAUUACGAUUUUGAACCAAACACGCCCUUAAAAUUUGGACAAUCAAGAUAUGCAAAUCACAAAAGCAGUAAAUGGAGGAAUGGUAAUUCUGCUACACACAUAUGAACUUAUGCAAGACAUCUCACAUGUCAUCCAGCCCUUCAUCCCAAUCUCCUAAUAAAUACAGAUGUAUGAGUCCGGCUGGGAUACUAUCGAUAGCACCAAACACUUGGUAUUACCGAGCUUUUCGCCGUUAGAUUUAACCCUGUGACUAUUUUCACCCGUAAGAUUAUACUAUUCAACCAACAACUCACUCAACCCUAGAGAGUCCAUAUCAUCUUAACCAUACAUUUCUUCAUCCAAGGGCCGAAAACCCAAUAGCAUCAACAACUUGGUGAUAUUGAUAGCAUUCCAGCCUAGUUCUAUAUAUAUAUAUAUAUAUAUAUUGAUAAUGAAGCACAGCCUAAAUACAGAUACAUUAUACACUAUAACUAUGAAGAAACAGAUAUAAUGGCAACUGCUCAAACACUAAAGGACAAAAAAAAAAAAAAAUCACAAAUGGAACAAUAACCACAAGAAUAGUUGGCACCCAGACACUAUAAUGAUGCUAAAUAAUUGACUGCGCAUAGAUAUAACUGUUAAACGCUCACUAAAUAAUCCCGCAAAAAUAUUCGAUUUCAUCUCAUAAAUACAGUUCAACCAUAAAUACUUCAGUCGACGAUAGAGCCCAUUCAUACGAAAAUAGUCCAUCCGUAACAUAUUCCACAUCGCUCGCACACGUAAUCCGAUUCACGACACGAUUUCAAGCUUUUCCCUGCAAUAAAGAUAAGACAUUAGCUUCUGCAUUGUGUUAUCUAGAAGUUAUUCAUAUUCUUUCCAUCAAUCUGAAAAGAACCAUCGCAUGUGUCAUCAAAAAGUUUCUACUGUGAUCUACGAUGAUUGAUUUAUAUCAAAUAAAUAAAUUGAUACUUAUUCUACUAGAACAAUUUGAUAUAUCUUAAAUAUUCAUUUAAGAUAACUAUAAAAGGUUCAAGCAUAGAUAAAAGCGAAAAAAAGAGACCAUAAAUCCUCCUCCACUCUCAUGCUUUUCUCAUCGAGUAUUGUACUAUGCUCUUACGCUUAUUGAAAAAUUUUCCAUAUCUAAAGUAAAAAAGUGAUAACGAGAACUGCUUUUUUAAAAAAAAAGAAAACAAAAAUUAUAAUAACUUGUCCAAUGUAAUGUUUCCCCAGUUUUAUAUUUGUCUAGUGUAAAGUUUUUCUCUCGUUUUAUAUCUAAUUUGGAUUUUAAAUUUAUAGAAACAGAAAUUACAUCUCCUAAGUGAAUUGUUGUUCCGAACAUAAGAAGUGGAUUGUGCUUGUUCACCAGCUGACAAAUCCAUCGGGCCAUUUCCCUACAGCAGUUGUGCCGUUAGAUGAGGCUUGUAAGCAAGUCUGCAGGAGUGCAGGAAUUCAUGGAUGUUUUGUGGAUCAGAAUAACAUACUCAGUGGAAUGCCUUGAUGUAAUUUUUAAGUUAAGAAAACUGAAUGGAGGAUUGAUCCUUUCACAGUUCAUCCCCUGAUGGCAAGGAAGUUCGACUGAAGGCCAGCAGUCCUAGUAACAAACAUGCCUGUGAAUCGUGAUGCACAUCAAACGGGUAAAGAACCAAAGAAUAUAAGGUGUUUAGAUCAAAUGAUCCCAAAAUUCACAAUCUCUAAUGGCUACUAGGGGCCAAUUUUGCUCAUUUGACGUGGUCAGUUAACCUUAAUUUAAGUUCAAAGGAAGUGUAUAUAUAUAUAUAUAUAUAUCAAGUCACAUCCAAUCUUGAAUUGCGUAAUGUUUCCCUUGACUUGCUUUUUGCUUGUUCAGUUUCUACAAUUCAUUUGGUGGAUGCACAAGACAAGUAAAUUAUAAUUUUCUAAAAUUAUGGUUUUCAAUUCCUAGAAUCUUGAAAUCCUACAGAUCAAGUUUGACAGCGUAAAUUGUCAAGUCGGAUGCCUAGUCACUCAGAGUGAUCCGAUUUUACCAACUUACUGAUUAAACAUAGCUGAGAUACUAAAGUGUACCUCCAUCCUACUACAAUGCCAAUACAUUACCAAAAUACUCCUAUACUUUUAUAAAUAAAUCAAAACAAAGUGCCACAGCCUCAUCCACGAUUCCAUGCUGAUUUAACAUCCCUCAUUCGAGCUGCAGCACAUCUCUAUCUUUGCAAAGUCACUGACAACAUGCCAUUCAACCUGUGAUCUGCACCACAUCUCUAUGUUUGCAAAGCACUACUGUUGCGAAAAUAGGCUGCUUCAUAUACUUUGCUUCUCCAUUGUCCCCCUUAAAGAAGAUUAAAUAAGUGUUUUUGGUAUAUCAAGUUUUCGGCGUGUAUCCAAUAUAUGCAGAAACCAACUCAGAUUGGAUUGCUACGUGUUCGCAAUGCUACCUGUCCAUUAAGGCGUGUGCCCUAACAUUUGUCGAAGAAAAAGAAACAUUUCCAAAAGAUCACGUAUCACUUCAAUCAAAUUAAUCUAAAACUACCCAUUGACCUGUCCAUACACAUUACACAACUAUGCCAUUGCGCCUCCGCCGGUCUCCCACUUCUGGUGCUUGGCCGUCACAUUUCCAGCUAUGUUCAUUUCUUUAAAAAGAAAAAGAAAAUAAAAGAAAAUGAACGAAACUUGUAGUAUGUUACCUUUCUCUCAAAAAGCUUAGGAGGUCAAUAGCACAAUCUGAGUUCACAGUCGAAAGAGCUCUAUUAGAGGUCACCCCUACUCUCUUGAUGUGGUUAAUGAUUAUUAAGUUUCUCAACCUAAUCCUUUCGCCUUUUAGAGACUUUAAUCAUUUCAGUUGGUGUUGAACUUCUACUUUGUUUCUAGUUCUCAUUAAGAUGUAUUGCUUAUAGAAGAUAGUUUCAAUUUCACAUGUUCAAAAGUAAGGCUGCAUAGCUCUUGUUUAGAAAGAAGGAGAAGCACUAGUCCAAGAGUGAAGGAAGAUCACAGGGAAGAUAUAGCCGCCUUUCCACAGUCAAUGCCAUAUCUAAUUUUAGCUGGCAAACUAACCACUAGAAAAUACAAGAAAAGUAUCUAGAGUACUGUCAAACCCACUUCCUCUAUUGCUUAAGCAAAAACCAACCUACCACAAGAGAAACAAAGAAAUUCUCAAGCUGACCCACUUUCGACAUUCGAAUACCCACUACUCAGGUUAUCACAUCCAAGGACAUGGAACAAAAGUCAAGAGAAUAAAGAAGUAAUAAAUACUAAAGGGCAUAAACAUACCGACCGUCCCUAGAGCAAGGGGCAAAGGGCUUGAUGGUUGGUAUCCGAGACCCAAGUUCGAAUCCUAGUUGAUUCGCAUUUCUAGCUUAGUUUAUUUCUAAAUGAAAUAAACGAAGCGGGUAGCGUGCUACCUAUCUCUCUCUCAAAAAAAAAAAGGGCAUAAACAUAAUCAGCUAAGCUUUACGGUCAAAGGCCAUUAGCAUAGGGUGCCCCGAUGUGCCAUUGGCGCUGCAUGGCACGCCUCGGCAGAACGCCUGUUUUAGAUGUCGGCACAGGUUGCGUGGGUUUAUCGGCAUGGGUGGCAUGUGCAGUACGUCCCAACAGUACCAGACCGUGCCAACUGGCACAACAAUACUUUACACGCUAGAAACUUUAUAGUUCUAUACUAAACCAGUUUAUUUAAAUUAAUAAGCCAAAAUUUGAAAAAAAAAAAAAAAAAAAAAAAAAACCUUACUUUUCGAUCACAAAUUCAUUUAUUAAUCCUUUUAUUAAUUUUAAUUGGUCAAUGUUAAAUUCGUCUUUGAGUUUAAAUAAAUAAGGUAAAUUAAUCCGCAGUCACUAGACUUCUAUAAUCCAGAGUCUCUACACUUGUAAGUGAAAUUUGAGUUCCCCGAUGAUAAGCGCGUGUCAAUUGAGGCACCGAGCUUCAAUUCUACUUCAAAUAAGUCACUCGUUCAAGUCCAUACCAAUUUUCUCCAAGAAAAAUGACUAGGUGGCAACUAAUUCGGUUGCAAGUUACAACAUCGCCUGAAGGCGUCAUCGCUACUACUUUUAUCUUUUGAAGAUGAUUUUGGCUGCUAAUUCACUCGGCGAAUCACCUUUUGAAAUGUUGUAAAAAAAAAGCUUAUCAAUAAUAAUCUUGAGAGAGGAUGUGACAGUUAAAUCAGCUAAGGGGGGUGAUAGCCACCGUUCCGAGGAGGUAUACGGAGGAAACGUGAUUGAAAUAACAAUUAACGUUGUUCAAUGAUGAUUAAAUGAAACUAAUUAAAAUUUGACAAUCUAAAUGAUACUCCAAACAAAUAGAUAGCAAAACCAGCAUCAAGAAGAAGAAGAAGAAGAAGGCAUGGAUCAAAUUAGUGCAAGUCCGAACCUAAGUUAGGAUAGAGACGGCGAGAUCCAGACAGGCGGAGGCCAGUUGAAUCGAGGGUCGGGAGAAUGGCAGGGCUGGAGACUGGCAUCUUCGAGGCAGUAUAUCCCGACGUCGCGCCUCGCCAGUCUGACCUCCUCGCUGUACAGCAUGUCCCACCAGUCGUCGGUGAGAUAGACGCAAUUCGGCCGCAGCCCGCGGACAUCUUCGGGCGAGAGCAACAUGGAAGAGCCGAUCCCGAGGAACAGAGCUCGGCCGCCCAGGCUGCUGAUCGGAAUCCAUCGAUUUGUUCCCCAGUCGAGCCUCAUGACCUUGAUUUCGCGAGUCGUCAUGGUUUUCGCGACAUCGUCGAAGUCGAAGUUCCUCCACACCUGCAGGAGAUCGCCGGUGGCGUCGUCGGCGACGAGGUACCUCCUGUACUGUCCUGCGACAAGGGGGUCGAACUGGCUGGCGACGAGCCUGACGACGUCGGCGUAGCCUCCGCUGAGGUCGACGGCGAGCAGAUCCCCAUCGCCCGACAGAGCGAGGAGGCUGCCGCGGCGGAAGGCGACGUCGUGGAAGCGCCAGCCGUCGUCGUGGAGUCGCCACCUGUCCGCCCCCGCGGUGGUGAACGCGAGCUUCGACGCGAUGCCGUAGAGGGCGACGACGGUGAGGGGGCCGCCGGCGGCGGGGCUGGAGGAGAAGGCGACCUUGUCGAAGGAAAGGCCGCGGAACUCCUCGGGCUUGUAGUGGAAGUAGUAGUCGGUGGGGUCGGAGAGGUGGAAGUAGGAGGCUACGGAGCCGUCGGGGGCGUAGGAGGGGUGGAUGUCGGGGAGGGUGGUGAUGGAGGGUAGGGGGAUUUCUUGCCCGGUGAGGGGGUUGAGGAGGGCGGGCUCGGAGAAGGGGUCGAGGGUGGCCAGCCAGCCGUGCUGGGAGCCGACGCAGUACUUGCCGCGGAGGCCGGGGACGGGCAGGCGGUGGAGCGUCUGGCCGGGGAGGCCGAGGAAGGUGAACUCGUCGCUGCGCUCGCCGUCGUCGUCGCCGCCGCCGCCGAGGAGAAGGAGGUAGGGGACGUGAGGGGACGGCGGGACGCCGGACACCGAGUGGGCCCAGAGCCGGCAGACCUUGCGGAAGGCCAUGUAGUCGAUCGCCGUCAGACGCGCCGCGAUGGCCGCCAGGACGCCCGACGAAAGGUCCGUCCAGUCCCUCGCCAUCGUGCGCACCACAAAGUACCUAACGUGAAGCGCCUGCUCGUCUUCAGAUUUGAGAAUUGAGACUACUCAACCCAACUCGACUCCUCUCUCUCUCUCUCUAUAUAAAUAAUUAUGCUAGUAAUCCUAUUCGGAUUCAAAUUAUAGAUCUAUUCAAAAUCGAUGUUUAGAUUCCGGAUAUAUUAUUAUUAGAUAUAACUAUUUAUAGACCCCUUAAAAUUUUAAAAAUAUUUAAUUUAUUCUUAUUUUUUAUCUUUACCAUAUAUCCCUUAUUAUAUAUUCUCGUGGUAUUCCAAAAUACCCCUAUAGUUAUCGCCCAUUAAGUUAACUUGACAUGAGUUAAAUAUUUAUAAAAAUUUUAAAAAAAUCGAAAUAACUCUUUUGCCCUUAACUUAAGGACAAAUAAAAAAUAUUGGUGAUAGUUAAAGGAUAUAUUUGAAAAGACCAAAAAUUCAAAUACUUUUUAUAUUUCUAACUUAAAGAGCAAAUAAGCAAACAUAAGAACAAAUAAGCAUGAUAGAAGUGUAUAUUUGAAAGGGCAAUUUCAUACAGAUAAGCUAUUGCUAAUAUUUUAUUAACAGAAUUUAACUCUAGAAGUAUAUUUGAAAUAGGUUGGAAUAUAUAAAGAAUAUUUUCAAUAUUAGCAUUUUAAGUGGGGUAAAUUAAAAAGUCGGAAACUUAUUAAGGAUAUGUAAGCAAUUGCCCCUUAUUAUUAUUAUUAUUAUUAUUAUUAUUAUUAUAUAAAAAAACUUGCGUAAUCUGCCUAAACUCUUACCGUAUAGUUCAAAAUUAAGAUAAUCUUACCUAUAGGAUAAGCAGAAAUUAAAAUAAUUUUCUAUUUAGAUGGAGAAGCAUGUUAAUUAGUUAAUUAAUUAAUUAUAAAAAAUAAAUUAAAUAGGAUAACUAAUUAAUAAUUUAUUUAGUAAGUGAUAUAUUUAUUUAAUAAAUUAAUUGGUAUAAUUUAAAAUAUUAAUUAGGAUAGUUUUCGGUUAUAGAUACGAUCCAGUUUUCUACCAUUAAAUCUCUUUUUUUAUCAAUUCUACUCUUUAGAUCAUACUAUUGUGCCAACCACCCAACAAACUCUACAAGAUCAACUAUAAGAUUUUACUAUUUAUGAUCAAUAUGUAUAUUAUGAAGUGUGCUAUUAAAGUUACAAUUUAUCCUGCUAUUCUGAUAUCCUAAAAGGGUUUAGUUCUAGAAGCUUGAGGGAUUGUAAGAUCUAAGUAUUGGAGAUGCCUAAAACUAAUAGGAUCUAUAAUUGCUUAAAACUUGUAGUAUUCUUGGUGUUUAGUUGCCAUUGAGAUUUUAGCAUCUGAAACUCAUCGACACAUCUGGAGAGUGUCGGGACAAGUCGAAGUCGUUUUGGCGCGAAUUGAACGAAAAACGGACUCGCCGCGAGAUGAGAAUGGAGUUUUGACGCUGAAAUCUAUAUAGUGCAGGAUAUCAGUAGUGAGUACAUGUACAGGGCAGGGGAGUAUCGGUACCCCAGUGUAAUUCCAGAACAGAAUCCUCUUGGGUUGCGCCAAUCUGAUUCUGAGUACCGGUACAGCAUAGAGCUGGUACCGGUACCUUGUGUGCGAGCUUGCGGGUUGAGAGGUCGAGUACCGGUAACCAAAUUAGGUACCGAUACUCCAGCUGAAUUUUUGAAGCCUCUUCACAAGACUCAACCUCGACUGGGAUUCGAAACUGCCUGUCCUGAACUGUAAGGAGGAGCUGCUCCGGGAUGAGAGAGACGUCCAGACAACGAAUACGAGCUCUAAAGAAUGAGACAUCGUCCCUCCUCUCGCUGAGGGGGUCUAUCUCCCAAAGUUCGCUAAAGCCCGAUACAGCGACUAAAACAUCCUCCUCAUUCCAACAAAGGAGCGGCCAAAAGUGGAGGCAGAUCCAAACCUUGUGGUGGAGAUGACCCCUCUCAACUUCUCCGAGCUCAAUCUAAUCGAAGAAGUGGAACUCGAAGUUGUCGAAGCGGAGAGGAUUGCGACCAAUGGCGGAGCCCCGCAUAACCCAGUUGGGAAAGAAUACAGCUAUAGAAGAGUCGAGAAAGGUAACGACCUUAAAGUCGCGACAGGACCCUCCAAACCUGCUUUCCAAACCACGGGGUAGGAUGUCGCAGACUACAGUGGGUUGUGUUAGAAAAUUGCGUACGGUAAAAACGCAGCGAAAAGGAAAUCAAAUAAAUUUGAUUUUGAAAACUCUCGAGAUCCAAUCUCAAAAACCACGCAAUUAGGAUCUCUCAUAUUCUUUAAGAUUAAAGAAGAAAAACAAGAUCAAAUCUUUACCUUUUUCGCAGAUUGAUCUUCACCUUAACUUGAUGAUCGUGGAAUCCGGUUCUCUUGAAGCCGCACACGCGUCCGGUCUCUAUAGGUAUCCACACGAGGUUCUUGAUUUGAUCGAUGUCCUCACCGAGGUGCUAGCUCCCUUGCAAAAGGACGUCUUUUUGUUAGAAUAUGGAGGAGAGAGGAGAAGAGAGAUGACGGCUAGAGUUUUCUAAAAACUCCCGUAUAUAUAGAGGAAUAUAAUCCCAUUCCUAAUAAUAUAAUGACAAGCUAGAGUUUUCUAAAAACUCCCGUAUAUAUAGAGGAAUAUAAUCCCAUUCCUAAUAAUAUAAUGACAAUUAAGGAUAAGUGCAAAUCUAGAUUUAAAUUUACCCUUUCCUUAAUUGGUUAGAUCAAUCAAAUCCUAAUUUGAUUCGAUCUUUAUAUUAAUUUGAUCUUAUCAAAUUAAUAAUGCAACAUUUGCACAUAAGUCCUCUUAUAAUUUACUAACUAUUAGUAAGUCAUCUCUUGUAAUAUUUACACUUUAAUACCACUAAUUUGUAACAAUUAUAAAUUAGUCCAAUUAUCAACAUAUUGACAAUUAAGUCAUCCGGCGAUUCAAUAAUCGCAAUCUAGUUAUCCAAUCAAUCACAACCUCUUAUGUGUGUGACCCUAUAGGUUCUAUUCUAUCUGGUAGUGAGAUAUAUUUUAAUCACUAUCAACAAUAUCACUGAAACUCCUUUCAAUGGAUCGGAACAAUUCCAACUCAGCCCAAUGAGAAUUAUCGAUCAUCUAGAUAAUUCUCAUGAGUCUCACAAUCCACCAGUGACGCCUAGCAGCAUGUAGUGGCAUUCCAGUAGAAUGGAAUACUGAACCUCUUGGUGCAGUUACCGUGUGAUACAAUCCUUCUAUCAUGAGUCCCGACUAGACGGAGGUUAUGGAAUAACUCGUCAAACCCCAUCGUCUGUCAUAUGUUAAAUUUAUUCGACUCGAGUUUCUAAUAUCGGAAACCCUUUUCCGCUAUUUAUUCUGCCCUGGCCAAGGUCUUCUAAACUCGGUCUCAUAAAUCACAUAGGACUAACACCCCUAUCUACCAAGGGAGAUAGAUUCCAUCUAAGUGCGCACCCUAUUCCUACAAUGAACCUACUGCAGCCAACAUGCACCGCAAGGACCCGAAUGGCUAGGGACCAAGUGUAUGUACAGUCAAACUACAGUAACCUCAUUGUGAAUAGCCGAGGCACCGCAGGUCAAAGCACCAGUCACACUACUGCAACAAUUGAGUAAGCCACUGACGAGUGAGUAGACAUCCAAGUGACUUCUCGGGUUGGUCACGCUCGGUACCCUUGUUCUCUAACACCCACCUGUAUAUUCGCUUCAGUGUCCCCGCACCGUCGACUCGAGACCCUUCUACCCAAAAAGGGAAGCGACCUACGCACCAAUCUCACCGGAUCAAUCACCGUCCCCGUGAUGAUCCAUUGAUCGGGAGCAUUUAGGAAUUAACCACCAAUGACACAUGUCUCAAAUUUCUCAACUCUUGAGAAUAUAUGUCAUCAUCUUAUUAAUUCCUUGGACGAUUCAUGGACACACAUACAACAUGAAUGAAAAUAAGUACCCAAAUUUAUUCAUAAUAUUUUAAAAUCAAAUACAAAAUUAUGUCCUAGAAAGAAUACAUGUGUAGGCCUAGUUGGCUUCUAGGGCAUACAUCUAACAAUAAAGGCCAAGAGCAUUCACCUUCGCCACGCAACCGAGAAGGAAAGGAGUACCAGCCGAGGGAGGGAGGGGGUCGAGCAGGGAGAAAGGUCGUGACAGACUGAGGGCGGCCAGAGGAGGGACCAGGUUCCAUUGAGGUGCGAGAUGCACUCCUUUGAAAGGAACAGCGAACGGCGUGGUGUCCCCGAUUCAUACAGAGCAGACAACGAUGCGGCUCCCUGCAGGAAACUGCUCGGUGGCCUCGCUCGAAGCACCUGAAGCAACGACCCCAGAGAGAGGGGUUGAGCAGAAAGCUCGAAGGAUAGAGUGGCAAGGCAGGAUUGGAGACGCGCCGCCCAGAGGUUGGGAGACGAGGCCUGUAAGAGGAGAUAAAAGGGGGGCGAGGGGGCGGUGUGGACAGAAGAGCAUUCUUGAAGGAAAAGUCGGGGCGGACACCAGCUGUCCCACUGGGGCCACACGAGUCAAGAGAGGGCGGAGGUGGGACCGGCGGAACAGGCUGAGCACGUGGGGCUUAGACAGGCGGACAAGGGUGAACAGGUGGAGGUGAAGGUCGGGCAGGCGAAAUAGGGUGAACGGGUGGAAUAGGGUGAACAGGUGGUGGUAGGACAGGUGGAAUAGGGUGAACAGGUGGAGGUGGGACAGGUGGAGCAGAUUGAGAGUGGCAAGGUGAAGACCCAGGAAGAAGAUGAAGAUAGGGCAGGGGUGGAUGUCGCCUUGGACGAAUCAUGAUCUUUUAAUUGAAAAGUGAGGGUUCUGAAAGCACAAUUUUAAAAUUGUGGAUUUGUUAAAGAGAAGCAAGAAAAGCAAGAUAUUGAAAAUUAAGAAGAUUGAUACCUGCAGUUCUUUUCUCACCUAUNAGCACAAUUUUAAAAUUGUGGAUUUGUUAAAGAGAAGCAAGAAAAGCAAGAUAUUGAAAAUUAAGAAGAUUGAUACCUGCAGUUCUUUUCUCACCUAUAGAUAGUAAUGAUCAGAAUUUGCUAAUAUAUAAAAUGCAUAUGAAAGAGAGGAGAAAGAGAGAAAAAAAAAUAUAAAAAAUAAUUAUAAGCAUCAUCUAUGAACAAUUUUUAUAUAGCAUAAAGGUAUCCGCAAUAAAAAAAAAAAUCUUAUUAUAAGUAUCAAUGGUGAGUAGGGCUGGGAAAUGAGCGAGCUGGCUCGCGUUCGACUCCUGAUAUUUGGAUCGCUCGAAUAUUUAUUAUAUAUUUAUUAUAUAUAUAUAAUAUGGUCACUCCCGGGGUCCCUUUUUAGUGGAAAACAGCGGAAAAAACGACUAAAUUUUUUUUUUAUUGAAACACCGAUGAACCCCAGAGUAAAAUGUCAGAUCGCGCCACAAAUAUAGGAAUCCACUGUUACGAGGACAGAGUCUCCCCUGUAAUUGCACUCGGGCGUCGCACAAGUUACAAAAGUAUCAAACAAUAUACAACCACAAACCUAAAUGACCUCCACCUCUCCUUACUUCAUAUGUUACCAUUGUACCACCGUAGGUUUUUAACAAUUCGAAUGUUAACAAAAGUCAACGCAAAUCCUUUUAAAAACUGUUCCAUACGCGAAACUUUUUAUCUUUUUGAUAACAAGCCUACCACGAGGCGGGUAGCGGAACACCUUAUUUACCAACAUCCAGAAAUUCUUUUUUAUUUACCAUUCAUUGAAAGGUCCACAUAUUGCAUUCGUGAAUAAAAAAUAGUUGACUACCAUAGAUUAUAUACUGACAUAAGAGUCCUACUAAAUACCCAAAGAUAGUAGCUGCAUUAAAAUAAACCGAUAAUCUGAGGGUCGGAAAAGCCUCGGACCUGCUUCACGAAUCCGAUCCUCACGUCUCGUCCCAAAACUCCUCACCGCCUGCAACACCCUGAACAAGAAUAGUGGGGGAGGUUGAACCAUGUUAACAUGUCUUCCCUCCAGUGGGACCGCAAUCGAAGAAGGCGAGGCAGUAUCACCGCGAUCAGGAAAGAGUAAAAACAGUAGGGUCAGGUAAAAAUACGUAGCAACGGAUAAUUGAACGAAUUGAGAGUAUAUAUACUAGAAAGCACAACUACGCUACUUGUAAUGUACAACUGCAGCAUACAAGAUAAUCAAAGAUAUAAGUAGCAAGACAACAUGUAAAGAAAGAACUAGAAGUAUAUAUGCAACAACGCUAUUAUAGACUAUAUUUGCGUCACCGGACGAGAAGUCAAAAGUACCCAAUCUAAACGCACGUGUCGUCUCUACGGACCUCAGGCAAAAACGCACUACCUGCUCACACACUGGCAUUGUAAACCCAUGGCACACAAGAGAACAUAGCUGGGCUCCGGUCGGAUGACGCACCACCUUUUCGGGAAAAGGAACCACCCUCCUGCGGGGGAUCACCGUGGUGUUAGGUGAAACUCGCCCUCACGCCUGUGGCGCAUCAAUGCGGAUAUGAUCAAUAGCAACUUCGGCAAGUCAGCCGACCAUCACUUGCCCUCUGGGCUACCGACCGAUGUGUUAGGUCGUCAUCAAGUAAACAACGCUGAAUCCGGACCGAAGAUUGGUCAAGGUCACGGAAAGUGACGACGACCAAACACGCAGUACCCGAUGCAAAUAGGAGAACGACAACACCAGGUCACAAGUAUGGUGCAUAUACGCAAUUGCCAUUCUUACUUCACCCCUUACAGGAUACUACACAUAUUGAACACCUACAGAGAUAAGAUUAAAAGAUUAGUUCCAUAGUUAGAUAUCUUCGAUGGUCACACUUUAAAAGUUACGAAAUGCAAGGACAACCGACCGAUAGGUCACAGGAGUGUAUUCGAUAUAGUCCAGAACUACCGUCAGCACCAGCCGACAAUCCUACCCCUCAGGGUACACCGACCUCAAAGGUCAUCGACGACGAGACUCAUGAAGCUGACUGACUAGGUCACAAACAUACCAAACAGUGGAACAAGGGUGCAAGGCUCAAUAUACUAUGGAUAGUAACAACAGAAGAGUAAGGGUAAGAAACCAUCACCAAGCGUGCACCACUGUACCGACGUCGGAUCGAAGUACCCACCUGUAUAAAGCUGAAACGGUCUCGCGAAGGCGGAGACGAAGCGACCGGACCUACGAAGGGUCCACCGGGUUAGAGUCUAACCCACAAACACAAUAACACGACCAUUCUCACACAAAUCCCAAAAUCGUAACCCCUCGGAAAUCGGUUUCUCAAACGCAACUACCAAAUCGGCUGGAAGUCCCGGAAACCGUAUCGAAACUCCACCGUCGCUCACCCGUCGUUUCCGAACCCUCGAGAAGACUCGGGUGACCAGACAACAAGGCUCAGCGACGCUACAAUCAACCACGAGGCACCGUCGGAUGAAUUUCGAGUCGAAAACGCGUUCUAUCUGCGGAUUUCGUUGAAAAACGCUCCGGAAAUGGCGAUUUGGUUUCCGCAAGGGCUUGGGGCCUUGGGCGAUCAGUCCAGAAGUUGUCCUGAGCCCUAACUUGCUGCCAACAGCAGCCACGACGAAGCGAAACGCAAAAGAAUCCCUAACGGCACAUGAAAUCACAUUAUUUUAUGUGAUUUCAUGGCUCCAACGGGUCGUACCAGCAAACCAGGGAUCUACGGAGGGUGCCAUCACACUUGUUGCUAGGUUUCAGCAUGCCUGGGGCCGUGCUCACCUUUCGGAGCUCUGCCGGCAGCAACUACGCGCGCACGAGCGACGCGAACAACAGCGAACCAGCGCGCACAGCGCGAAGAUAGCACAUUACUCACUAACCAGGGCACCGUUAACCUAAAUGGAGGUGAGCAUCGUGUUCAGCAUGAGCCCACGAUCAUCGUGCUCACCUCUAGAGGUGCCAGGGAGUCAUCGGAUCACCGAAAAAGUGACCGGAACACAAAACUGUAGUGCUGGAACCAUAAAUGGCUACUCACCGGAGCAGUGGGAGCUAGGGAUGGCCGCCGGCGAUCGGGCGGCGGGCGCUCCGGCCGGUGAUGGGAGCAGCAGGUCGGGGAGGUCCGGGGGAGGUGCUGGCCGGCGGCGGGCAGCAGCCGGUGGCGCGGCGGCGGAGAUCGGGCCCGCACACUUCCUCUCGGGUUGGAGCUUGCCGGCGGCGAGGCGGCGACCGGGGGAGGUCGGGGCGGCGAUGAUCCGGUGCCGGAGACCAAGGGGGAGGUGGUGCUCACCUCAGAGGGCAACGGCGGCGCUCGGGAGUGGCGCGGCUCCAAGGUCGGCCCGCACAGGACCCGAGCGGCGGCGGGAGACCUUGGCGGCGGCCGGCGGCGCGCGGGGACGGCCGGGGACGCGCGCGCCGGGUUGCUGGAGGUCGCCGGGGUCGACAGGGGGGCUUGGCCGCAGGGGAAGUGCGGUCCCAAGGCCCGCAACCUGAGCUCGGCCUGGCUCGGGUCUGGGCAGACCCGGCUGGCUGCAGCCUCUUCCGGCGGCUCCGGCGACGCUCGGGGGUGGCCGGGGCCGGCGGGGGAGGGCGCCGGAGGAAGAUCUCGACCAGGGGAAGGUGGUGCUCUGGCUAACAGGCCUCUCCAAGCACCAAGCUUAAGCCGGUGGUGAGGUGGUCCAAGAGAGGAGGAAUGUUGGCUGCAGGCUGUUUCCGGCGGCCGGGGCUGCUCGGCGGCGGCCGGAACGCGAGCACGGGCAGGGCAGGGAGGUGCUGGGAUGGCAGGGGCGGCUGGGGUCAGCUGGGGGGUUCUAGGGUUAGGGUUUGGUCCAAGAAAACCCUAGAUCCACCUAUAUAAAGGUGUGGAAAACUCGCGGAAAACCCCCUCGAAAGGAAUCUAUUUAAUCCCAGCUCUCAACCAGCAGUCGCACAAUGCGCGAUAGUCCCUCUGAGUUCGAAGACUCGCAAUUCGAUGCAUAAAAUAUAGGGCCUUUUCGCGAAUGAUCCGAUUUCUCAAAUCAGCCCCUUCGCGGACUUUUCGCGAUUCCCGAAGAUCCGUCCGUCAGAUUUCCGAUCGGAUCGCACCAGCGCGAUCAGCACGACAGAGGCAUCGAAUCUAGCAUUUCGUUUCGCCCGAAAAGGUUUCCGAUUUGCGACAAAACCAUCCCUCCAAGGUUCCACCAAAACCCGCAUAUAGACGACUAUAUGCUAAAACCAUUAAACCCCUUUUUCUCGAAAUCUGUGCAUCCAAAUCCAAUUCCGUCAGUGCCAUUGGUUCCAAAACAGCUGAACCGGUCGAAACGAGCUAUUGGACUGAUAUGAACGGAGUCCGAUACGCGCCAGAAGCCAACUCUACUCCGUGGCUUCUCCGGAAAACCGGAGUUACUAUUCACUUAAGUGAAAACUAAAAGUCACGUAUCUUCUCCAUUUUAGCUCAUUUUCGCCCGAAACUUGACGAGUGCUUAUGUAAUUAAAUUACACACAUAAAAUCAUCAACAGAGAGUUUAGUAGCACUGUAAAAAAUCUCAGUCCUUACAUAUAUAUAUAUAUAUAUAUAUAUAUAUAUAGAGUCCGGCUAUGGUGCUUGUAAAAGUACCAAGCAAAUAUUUGGUGCUUGUAAAUUUUUUACCGUCAGAUCUACGCCUUUGAUCAUUUUCACCCGUUAGAUUAUACUAUUUAACCAACCACCCACUCAACCCUAGGAGGCUCACAUCAUCUUAACCGCACAUUCCUUAAUCCAAGGGCUAAAAACUUAUAAGUACCAAUGACUUGGUACUUUUAAAAGUAUAGGAGCUCAAUUAUAUAUAUAUAUAGGGUCCGGCUACGAUACUAUUAUGAGUACGAUCACCCUCGUACUCAUAAAUUGUUUUCGAUGAUAGAGCUUCCGAAUCGACGAUCCACACCGUUAAAUGUUAUUUAUAGCAUUUAAAACUUCUAGAAAUCAAAUUUUAUAAUUUUUCGACAUCAUUUACCUUACGAUCAAGAGGUCACAAAUUUGACAAUUUUUAAUGACUGGUAUGGGAUACUUGCUAAUUNUUUAACGGUGUAAAAGAAUCGAAAUUUGUUGAAUUUUGAUACAAAAUUCUAUUCACUAUAUAGAUAAAGAUCAAUAACUCCAAUCUUGAAUUGAAGGAUCUGAUCAUUCUUUUUUAGGAUGUCGUUCGAUUUUGACCGUUCAUUUUAUGCCCACUUGAUGGAUUUUAUUAUGAUUUGGAAAUUUACGAAAUUUAUUUUCUAGAAGUUUCAAAUACUCUAGAUCAUAUUUAAUGGAGUGGAUCGUCGAUUCGGAAGCUCCAUCAUUGAAAACAACUUAUGAGUACGAGGGCUCCAAUACUCAUAAUAGUAUAGUAGUCAUGGCCAUAUAUAUAUAUAUACUAUGCUAUCGAAAGUAUAGAGAAUCUGGUGCUUUUGAUUUUUUGAUUUUUAGAUUAACUAAUCAUUUUUUGAAUUAAUACAAUUAUUAUCUUGUAGGGACCACUCAAUUCUAGGGAUAUUAUUUAAUCUUAGGGCGGACCGCAAUCGUCCCAACCAUAUCAUUUUUAAUCAAAUGGUCAAAAAUUCGAAAACAUCAAAUCCUCUAUAUUUUCGAUAACAUAGUAAUUCUACACUAUAAAUAUAUAAAUAUAAUAUAUUUUAAUUAUAUAUAGGCUGAGUGAAUAAUCUGAGUUUAGUUAAAAUUGGGCCAAUAUUGUUGGCCCAUAAAAACAAACCCAAUAGAUAAAUAAAAGAGCAAAAAUUUACUUAAUUUAUACAAUUUUUCUUUCUUUCUUUUUUUCACAGAGUUCUAAUUUUUCAAUAUGUUUCUCUCUUUCUCUUUUUCUAUCUCUCACCCUAUGUGACCAAACCGGAAGGCCCUCCAAGUUACCAAGUAGCAGCAUAUACCUGUCGUUGCCUAUCUUGCUAUUAAUUGUAUGCUUGAGAAAAUAUACAGAAUAUUUUUAAAGUAAAAAAUUAUUAUUCAUAUAAAAUUUUAAUUUUAGUUAUAUAUGAUUGGAUAGUUUAAUCCAAUAUUUAUCUAUAUAAUUUAUUUAUUUUUGACUGCAUAAAUAAAAUGAAUAAUAUGGAGAUUGAAGCGCGGAAAGACAUGUAAGGCUGAAAAGAUUAGAUAUUCAACUCAU
rnacentral:lncRNA from 1 species